rnacentral:lncRNA from 1 species
GAAAACAUAAAACGGUUUUGAUAUAGAUGUAUUGUACUCUGACAAAACAAUUUCACUUGUAGCAGUCAUGCCAACAACGCAAAUAUUGUAGUGACACUGCAAGACAAUCGUCUCCGGCAAAGAGUAGACAUGUUUCUGACCAUUUAUGUUUCUCGACAUUCUCUAGAACUCAAACACGCAACUCAACAGAAAAUACACUACCAUGCAUGAUUAUACUCCAAAUUAAUCCCACCUAAUUUACCUUUAUAGUUUAUCAAUUUUGUAUUUGUAUAAAAGAAGUGAUACAUGGUUUGAAAGAUCGUUUAAUCAAUAUAGUUUGGUCAAGUUACAAAGAAGAUACAUGGUUUAAUCAUUAUCUUAGAAAAACUGAAACAAGAAAAAAACUGUAACACUAGCUAGAUUUCGUUGAGAGAAGGCAUGAUUCGGAGUCUAUCCUCGGAGACUCGUUGGCGAUCAGCACCACAGAAUCUCUCUCCAGCGAGCAACGACUGUAAAUCACUUCCGUUGGCUAAGCUAUUGAACUCAACGGAUUUAGAAGGCAUAGCUGGAUAGCGUCGUUGACAAAAAGUCAUCAAUCUUUUAACUGACUGAAGAUACUUGCGAGUGGUUUCGUUGUUCAUGAUGUGAGCAACACUACUGCUGGUAGAAAUCUUCUCUCGGGCAGAACGUUCGUGAAUACCAACCAUAGUCACACCGAUGGGCCAUGGUGCAUUCCCUAUGGCUAGUUUGAUGAAUUGAGCCAUUGCAUCGAGGUAGUCUCGCUUUAUGCAGCAGUUAACCAUCACCAUUAAACCUUGACGAAUGUCAGCUGGUAAACACUGCAAAAAUUUGUAAAUGUAAGCCAUAACAGAAACAUAAAGUAUGGAACCCUAAUAAGACACAAAGAGAGAAAUUUGCUUGCUUUGCACGGAACAUUCCAGCCUAUUUCUCUUCAUCUAUAUGGAACUAAAAGAAAAUUAGAUUUAUUUUGUUUACCUUGUUCCGGCAUAAGUGGAAGAGAGGAGUUAGAUACCUAGCACACUGGUUAAAAAUGGCUAGCAUCUGUUUCCCUAUAGCAGUUCUCCUCUCAGUGUUUUCCAUAGCAUCAAGUUCCUGCUUCCAUUCAAGCAAUAACUUCUUGCAGAACACAAGAAUCUUGUCCUCGUCGCAUAAAUCCUCGAAAUUAGCUUCUUUUAAACGCUUCAAAUUCUCCUUAUCAGCACCACUGAGUUCAUCAUCAUCAUCACUCGUUUCAUCUCUAAUCUUCCUCUUCCUAUCAUUCAUUACACCACUACUCUUCUGCCGCUUCUUGAGCUCAGCGAUGUCACACAAGAAAUCGUUCGUCUCUCCUUGAGUCAUGUCGCUAUCCACCUCCUCGAAUAAUCCUUCCUUCAACACAUACAUGAGUCGAUCGAGCCGCACAUGAUCAUCUUCUCCGAAGAGAGUCACCGGCUGCUUGAGGAAUCUCAAGCGGCGAAUCACUUCCUGCUUCGUGAGAACUAUGAGGUUUUCGAUGAUCUUCUCUUCGGUUAGGGUUUUGGAAUCAGCCAUAGCUGCCGCUUUGGAGACGGAUGAUUUGCAAGAAGCCUUACCUGAUGCGGCCUCGGCUCUGCGCUGGGACUUAACCUCCUUCUCGCGUCGUUCCUCCUCUCGAAGCUUCUGGAUUUUCUUCUGCUCAAUCUCCGAUCGCUUGUAAAACUUCUUCCCACCAGAUGCCUCAGCAAGAAUCUUCCGUUUCUUCAGAAUUUCUUGCCUUACAAGAUCCAUCACGACUAUGGUUUCUUCAAUCGCCGCCGCCCAGGAUUGGAUUCUUACCCAAUGAAAUAGAGAUGAACGGUGAUGACAAAAGCUUGACUUCGGUGAGCAACGAUGGUUAACGAUGGAUGAUGGUUACGAUCUCUUCGAGUUUCCUUCACUCGUGAGUUUCUUCCUCUUCCUACCAACGUCACAACAGAUCCAUCACGACGAUGGUUUCAUCAAUCGCUGCCGUCUAGGAUUGGAUUCUUUCACAAAGUUAAUCGCCACGAUGGAAAUAUACAAGUAUAUCAAUUUCUUCGUAUAUAUAUUCAACGAAAGGUUUUGCCCAAAAAGUAAAAAUAAAUUAAAGAUAUUCAACGAAAAAAAAGGAAAUUUCUGUUGGCCAAAAAAAAAAGAAAAAAAAAAGAAAGGAAGUCUCAAGUUUCUAUUCUAUGGAAAAAAAUCUAUUUAAUAAUAAAAAAAAAUAUUUAUAUAUUCAAAAAUCAAAGUUUGUUAAUUUAUUAAAGUGUAUUAACCUAGUUCUAUUUAAAACUAGCUAAGAACUUGCGUGCUAUGCACGAGUAAAAUCUUAUACUAUUUAAUUUUUUGAUAGAACGAUUUAAAAAAAAAACUCAACUUUUUUAUAUUAAAUCCCGAGAUGUCAAAACUAAAUUUUGUAAAUAUGUUAAAAUAUUUUAAAUUAGACUAAUUGUAUAUAAAUAUCAUGCAAUAACACAACUUUUUAGUCUAUAAAUAAAUUUAUAAAUUAAAUUUUAAAUAAUUUAAUGAUCUUUAUUAAACAAAUAAAAUUAUAUUUAUGUCAUUCAUAAAAUUAGACUUAUAGAUUUGCGGUUUCUAUUUAAAUAUUAUAUAAUAUAUGACAGAAUUUUAUGAUAUUGAAAUGCUUAUAAGUUAUAAUAUAUGUUUAUAUAAAUAAAAAAUAAAUAAAAAGGAAAUAAAAUUAGACUUGAGGUCAAAUUUAGGCAAACAAAACUUACCAAAAAAAAUUUAGGCAAACAAAAAUUAUUGCAUCUGUAUUAAUAUAACAAGUCUGUCCGCUUGAUUACAUUUCGUGCAUGUUUUUGACUAGAGAGAUGGUUGAUGAAUUUUUCAAAGCCUUGGCCAGGAAGAUAUUCGCAUAUGGAGCAAACCCAUGAGGCAGAUUCACCCGUUGCACUACACUUAUCCUCCUCAAGUACCCCUGAAUCCAUUAAAAUAAAACAUAGCUAGUGUAGCAACUUAUUUCAGCAAGACAAUGUGAGAGAGUAGGACAAACACUCACCUUCUAGUUCAGCAAAUGGAAACGGCUCAAUAAUGUUAUAUCCAUCCUCAGAAAAGAAGACAAGAGGAGCAGGAGGAUUUUUGUUAUCGGAUAUGACCAUUAAAUUAGCUGGAGGUGGAUAUCUCUCGGCCCAUUCACAAAUAGCAUUGGCAACGUGUAAGUAAUUUGUUUCACAAACAAUAAAAGACUUGAGAUUCAAGAAAAAUAUCUAUAAAGGCAUAAGUAAGGAUGAGAAGAUAUCAAUUACCCGUGGCGACGUGAUUAAGAACGAUUCCAGUGGAGGAGACCGCUCGCAGGGCGUCAUCAGGGACUUCUGAUAGUAUACCAACGACGGUGAUGGUGAGAGGACCAGAGUAGCCUUUAUUCUUCAACGCCCGUUUAAUACACGACCAACCAGACGAGCAUCACAGCCAGGCAGAGUCGGCUCUAUGUUUUUGAAAGCCACAAGCAAAGAAAAAAAUGGGCUGCUUUUUAAAUUCACAAAAAAAUAAUCAAUUAACAAAAUUGAAAAGAAAAAAAAAAUUAUUACUACUAGGGAGACUCGAUUAACUCACACAAGGAAUGGUCAGUGCCACUAGACUAAAGGAACUUUCAUAAAAAUGGGGCCGAAAUUUAUAUAUAUUAUGUAAGGCCGCAAGCAAAUGCUUCAUGGCCUGACCUUUGGGCCGGCUCUGCAGCCAGGGGAACCGGACACCUCUUAAUGUCCCAAAAGACCGAUGUUACAGCCGCAGCCUCCUCCUUCAUAGGCUUCUCCAUCAUUCAAGAGUUCUUCUUCUUUAGACCCAAACAAAAUCAAAUUCAAUAUACAGACCUAGCUUAUUGUCGAAUCUGAAACGCCGCCAGAGAGGACAAAGGAAAGAAAGAUGGAGCGACGAAGAGUGAGGAACAAGGUUUUGAUAAAUUCUUUUAGGGCAAAUACUUGUAGUGGUUGGUUUAUAUGGGCCGAUACGAGUGGCCCAUUAGUUGUAUUCUUACAUACACAGUCGCUAAUCAAAGUGUUACCUUUCAUCUUUAGCAGAGUUCAAAUUAAAUGUAAAUGCAUGCAACAAGAAACAAAGAAGCAGAGUAGAGAAGAGUAAGUUGUUACAGCAAGUUUUAUUUUUUUAUUUUUUUUUUAUUUUUUAUUUUUUUACAGCAAGUUUUAUUGGUCACCAUUGAUUCUUUCAUAGUUGUAUGGGAUCUCUCUCACUUAAGUAAGAGUCUAUGAAUCUGCAUUCUCUCAAGAUAAUGCAUUUACGUUUUCUGUUUGCUCUGUUUUCUAUUUGUUUCAUUUAUCUUUAGGUCUCAAUUUGCUUCUUCUUCUUUGUUCAGGAGAUGUCAUACAACAAUUACGAAGAUGCAGAUGUCAUUAAUUUGCUGGUGAUCUGAAUUUAAAAUCCCAACUUGUGUAGUAGUUAAACACACAAAAACUACAAAGGUUUUAAAAGAACCCUAAACAUUAGUUAUCAUUACGAUAAAAAAUAUGAGUUUUAACGAAAAAACAGUUGACGUGGGAUCUAACUAUAGUUUUGCUUUCACGUAUCCUGCAACACAAUUAGGGGUCCAAAAUGAUAGAACCCACAACUAGACAUGUAGAUGAAAAAUCACUCACAGCCAAAAUAUCUAAUACUCUAUGUAUAAACUAUAGAACAAAAUACAACUGACUUGAGAGGGAGCAAGGGAAGCAAUCAGGUUUUGUCACCUGAAAGUUCAUCAUCAUCUAAAAGACACAGCGCAUUAAAGGUACCAGUACUAUCUUAUUGCGGGUGAGCAACGGUCCUCCCUUGAUGAUCUUUUCUGGAUGAUGUUGAUGUGCUCAUGGGUUUACGUACGCUUCUGUUCUGGUGUCUUCACAAUAUUAAACUGAAGAUCCUCUACAUGGUCUACAAAGGCGCAAACUGUAUGAAAGUUGAACCAUUUGUGGUCUUCUCCAACACCUUGGAUUUCAACACUCAGAAGAGUGUUACUUUCCGGCUUAAAGUAGAACACAUAAAACGGUUUGCAUGCAUUCUUAUUCACCAAAACAAUUUCACCUGUAGCAGUCACCCCAACAACGGAAACAUAGUGUUUCUCCUUAACGACUAUAUUCUCAGCCAUCAAAGUGUAGACAUAUGUUGACCAUUCCUGUUUCUCGAAAUCCUCUAGAACCGUCAUACUUAACUGAAGGGGAAAUAUAACAUCAUUGGCAUGCCUCAAAUUAAUCACACCUAAUUUACCCUUAUAGUUUAUCAAUGUAGAAGACCAUCCAUAUGAGCAGUUCAGAUUUAGAGACUUGAAUGUCUCGGUUCGAACAUCAAAGCAACCUAUAACAUAUAUCCAAUCAUCACUUUCGUAAGCUAGGUAAUACAAAACCCCACUAAUGCAUAUCCCUGCACCCUGAAGAUCAUGGUUGAAGGGACGUUGGAUCUCUCUCCAUCUCCAUCUCACUUUUUCAGUUCCUAAUGUCAGAAUAUAAUGAGCCUUUUCAUAAUCUUUAGCUAAAUUGUUCAUGGACAAUACCUUCCAUUCAUUACCAAUCGGAUCAAACCCUAACAACUCAUCAUAGCUUCUGUGCGUUAAUCGUCUCGGUUUAGGUAAGAUCUCAAACUUUCUCGUGAUAGGGUUACAUAUCACACGCUUUCCAUCCUUAUCCUCACUUGAGAAAUGCAUACUCAUGAAAUAGAGUAGACCAGAGGCAUAUCUACAACCUUCGUAGCUUGAGUCUCUACCGAACUUCAUAUGAAAAUCGGCCGCUACAACAAUAGAAGAGUUAUCAUAUGGGUUCUGAGGCUGAGGACACGAGAAAAAAAAACUGGUCACCGUCUUGGUAGAUCCUGAUUAAGAGACGUGGACGAGCCGAGGACCUGGUCAAGAACAAUUUGGUGAAAUAUGGACGGCAAAGCAUGGACCCCCAUAGCUUCGACACACAGCGAAACCUCCCCGUUGACUUUGCAGGCAAUCUGGAGAGUAUCUCAAGAAUGAGAUCAUUAGGGAUGGAAUCUGAGUAUCCUCCUCUGUUCAUUGUAGUUGUAUUUGCUUAUCCGACGGAGAGAAAUCACAAAUGGCAGAGACUCUUGAAUUUAUAUGUGGAAGAAUCUUGUGAAGUUCAUGGUUGGCGCUAACCUAAAGCCCAAGAAACAUGGGCUUUAACCAUCUAAAGAUAUAAGAAUUUAAUUUUUUUUAGUAGUGAUCGAAAAAUAUUCGACUUUGAUUGAUCAUAUCUCUAUUUGUCACGGGAAAAAGAUAUAAGUGCACGUCUCAUAGAGAAUUCUAUGAACACAACUUCAGCCGUGGCAUUGAAUUAAAUAAAAAAAAUUAUUAAGAACUUAUUAGAUAAUUAGUUGAUGUUUACAAAGAGAGAAUACAACUUGUAUCAAGUAAAGAGCUUGUAGCUCAUUUGGGAAGCAAUCAGGUUUUGAAACCAGUAAAUUAAUCAUCAUCUGAAAGACACAGAGCAUCAAAUUUGUUACUGCUCUCAAACAUACCACGAUCUUGUUGCAGGUGGGCAUAGAUGCUUGAAUUGAGUUGCUUUGUAUCGUAAACAUUAAGAUCCUCUACAUGGUCUACAAAGACGGAAACUCUACCAAGAUAAUCAAGACCUUUGAUUUCAACACUUAGGAGAGUGUUCCUUUCGGGAUUGAAGUAAAAAACAUAAAAUGGAUUAGAUAUAAACUUCCCCGACAAAACUAUAUCACCUGUAGCAGUCAUCCCAACAACAGAAAGCUUGGGGUUAACCUUAACGACUUUACUCUCAGCACACAAAGAGUAUACAUAUUUCGACCAUUCUUGUUUCUCGACAUCUUCUAGAACCCACAUAUUAAGGGGAAAUCCAUUAUUGUAGUUCAAAUUAAUCCCACCUAAUUUCCCCUUAUAGUUUAUCAAUUGAUGAAACAAGCAGAUUGCGUCUACGAACUUGAAUUUCUCGGACCUAACAUCAAGGCAAACUAUCAUAUAACAUAUAUGAUUUCGUUCAUCGAUAUAUUGAGCUAAGUAAUACAAAACCCCAUUGAUGCAUAUCCCUUUAAGCAAAGGAUACUCAGUAAAAGGGCAUUGGAUAUUCCUCCACGUCAUUUUUCCAGUUCCUAAUGUCAGAAUACGAUGGACCCUUUCACUAUUAAAUAUACCCAUCAUGAUCAACACCUUGAAUUGCUUGUCAAUCGGAUCAAACCCUAAAUAGCUUCUUGUCUGCAUAUCCGUUUUCAGUUUAGGUAAGAUCGCACAGUGUCCGGUGCUAGGGUUACAUAUCACAGGUGACGCAUCCUCACCCUUGUCUUUUGAGAUCCACACAGCAGGAAAACAGAACAAACCAGAGGCAUAUAUAUAUAUAUAUACAAUUACUUUGGCUUCUAGGGAACUUGGUAUGAAAAUCGGCGGCUACUACAAUUGACUUCUCAUAUGGAUUCUGAGUCUGAGGCGACGAGUAGAGGAACCACUCACCACCGCCUCCGCUUGGUUUGAGGGCGAAUAAGAGACGUGGACGAGUCGAGGACCUGGUCAGGAACAACUCGAUGAAAUCUUGACGGCCAAGGAAUGACACCCAUUGCUUCGAAACGCAACGACAUCUCCCGACUGACUUUGUAGGCAAUCUUGAGAAGAUCUCCAGAAAGAGAUCAAUUGGAAUGGAAUCUAAAGUGUUUUCUCUAUUCAUGAUCGUUGUAUUUGUCAAUCGAACGGAGAGGCUCCAUAUAAAGUUCGAAACUUAGGGCAUUUUAUUGGUUUGGUUUGGUUUGGUUUAAAGGCAUAAAACCGAUCAGCAUCCCUUGUCAUAUUGCGGGUCGUAUACAAACAACAAAUUGACAGUCUUCUCAUGGAUUUUUAGUAACUACUUCUCAAAAAGGCCAUUGUUAUAGCUAAGGUUUGGCCUAUCUUGCUAUUUUUCUUUAUUUUGGUGUAGUAAAAAAAAAAUACGGGUUUCUGGAUUCUUUGUGGCACAACUAAAUAGCAUUCCUAAUUCAACUUUUAAUUUUCUAUUUUGCUUAUUCUUUCUUGGCGCAUUAGCAACCUACCAGAGAUCUUUGUGUCAAAACAUUAUCUUUGUGACAAACUGAUAUCUUCAUAAUUCAUAUUCAUGUACUCAUAUGACUUUAUUGUUUAAACAUCAAUAAUACCAAUUCAUCUAUUCAGUCAUUGACUCAAUUGAGGCAAUGGUUUCUUAACGAACAAGUUAUUAGAUACACAAAGACUCGCCAAUAAUAUAACAUUUGUCACUAUAUAUCAAAGCAAGUCCCUUUCCUAUUGUAUAUAAAAUCUCACUCUAUUGUCGUUACAUUUAAAGUAAAACAAGAAAAAGAAGGUUUUACUUAGUUCAGUUUUUCAGGGAAGGGCACACGACAUAAUAUAAAACGGAGGAAAGGUUCAUGUUGUUUCAAAGAUGGAUACGUGGUCGAUCUCUUUCACAUAACAACAUUGAUUAAUUCAAUUUCCGAUGAUUCAUUUCUUUCUUUUUUUUUACAGUUUUUUUCAUUAUAUUCUACUCCUAUAUUUGACUUUUUUCUCUUAAAUUUGAGCAAAUGACAGCUUUUGUAGCUUCUGCUUUCAUUCAAUCUGAUGCCCUCGACCCUCUCUGUGUGCUCUACUUGUGUCUAUCUAUGAUUGUUUCUCAUUUUCAAACUGAUAUUUAACCAGAAAAAAUAUAUUUCAACAUCGUAUCCGUGCGAGAUGUUUUAAAUAAUAACAAAAAUUUCUCACUCGCCUUUAACAUAUCAUAUGGAACCUCGGUUUAUUUGAUUGAACAUUGUAUGUGUUAAAUAAAAUGAAAAGUAAUUUAAUUCCACACGUCUUAAAUUUAUAGUUACACACAUUUCUUUAAUUGAAGCCUAUAGUUUUGACAAAAUAAAUAAUUCAUUUUUCACUCUUUUCAUUUGUGCUAUCAUUAUACAGAUAAUGUAUGGGACCAAAUUUUGGAUCUUAAAGUUAUUCGGAAUGGGGUUCUAUUUCGAAAAACUUUGUAUUGUUGGUUUGUAGAGCGUAGAGGAACAACAUAUUCUAUUGGGGAGCAAAAAUGACAAAUAAAUUGGAGGAUGUUAGAUUCAUCAUUUUAUUUAUAAUUAAAAAAAAAAACAUUUUCAUUUAUAAGGUAACUCCCAAUUUAGAAAAAAAAAAAAAAAAAAAUAGUGUAUACCAUUAUUAUAUUUUAUACAUUGUUAGAUUUCAUCCACUAAAGUAAAAGUAAAGGCCAGUUGAGUGACUACUGAUCUAGGUGAAAAGUUAAAAUAGGUGUCAAAAGGUGAAAAACAAAAUAAGGUUUGCUUGAAGAGUGAAGACAACCCACAACUACCAAGUUCGAAAAAGUUUUUAACUUUUUUCCAUAAGUGGCGGUUUCUUGAAGGUUAAUAUUUACUUUGAAUUCUAGAAUUUGAUAGCUACAAUUUAUUUUACCCCCUCAUUUCCAUAGAUUUUAGAGCUAGAUAGAAUUUGAUGAACAGACAAUACAUUAACAUACACGUACGUACAUAUAAACGUAUGCAUGCAUAUAUGACUAUAUAUAUAUAUAUGUAUGAGAAGGAAAAUGUGUAAAGUAAUGUAAAAUCACAUUGACUGACCAUAGUAUUUAGUUUCUAGUUAUAAAAUCAUUUAUAUGUAAAUAAAACUACACAAUGGCAGGAUUGCAGUUUCGAAUCAGUUAAUGUGGGCGACAAAAAGAAAUUAGAUUAUAUUUAAUUGUUAAUUUUAAAAAGAGAUGGAUACUUCCUUCAUUAAUAAAAGUUUUAUGUUUUAUUAUUAAAUCAGACUAUUUAUUAUGGGUACGACUUGUAAGCGUAAUUAAAAGUUAAAUAAAACCUAGCUAGUUGGGAAAUGGGAAGAUAGAUGAUUUGAUAAAAACAAGACACUGUUUGGUUUCAGAGACUUCCUUUAGCAUCAAAACACAAACAAAAGCGAAGCCUCUUGAGUUACUGCAAAUAGAGAAUAUUACUACCCUUUUGCGACUUGUCAGCUUCAGAUAUUCUCACUUGUAUAUAUUAUUUUCACGGUAAACAAUGCCUUAAAUAAGAAACCCUGAUUGGACUUUUGAUCUGACUCUACUCUUCACUCUUUCUUCUUCUUUAUUUUCAGUCAUGAUGUCUCUCUAACCCUAAUCUCAAUAACUCCAAACUCCUUUUUAUUUCUUUCUAAACCUUGAUUAUAGCUAGCAAUGAUUUAUAAAAACUUUUUUUUGUUGGAUAAAGAAUUAAUAAGAAAUUGAGUUGUAAAUGUUUUGCGAUGUCUAAAAAUAUGAUGUUUGCAAAUUAGAUGUGAAUUGAUUUAAGAUUUGUAUGAAAGCUAGUUUUAUCGAAUAUUGGAUACGUUUCUUUUUUUUUCCUAAACAAGAAGUUCAUGAUCUUGGGCUUAGUGGUUUUAGAGUCUGAAAGAGUUUACAAUUUGUAAAAAAAUAUUAAUCACUAUAUAUAAUGAUGGUUUCAUCUAAAAUUGAAACAACAUCAAAUAAGGGUAUAAACAUAAUUUAUUUUUUAUUCUUAACAAAAAAAGGGGAUAAAACUAUAUAAGAGCUAUUUCUGCUAUAAAUUUAGGAGAAAACUGCAUCUCAUUACAAAUAUGCAUCUCAAUUCUUAGAAAGUUAUUGUCUAUAUCUAUUUCUCAUGUUUAGAAAUAACAUUCUUGUAUGUUACAUAUGAUUCUAUUUUUUCUUCCACGGUGGAAGUUUUAUUUUUGGACUCUAUUAAACCUUAUAUACUGUCAAAUUUUGUGUUGGGUCCGAAUAAGGUAAUGUGAUCUCCUCCAACAAAAUUAUUUAGAAUAAAUGACUUGUUUCCACUUCUAUGAGAUUAGAGAACAAAUUAAGUAAUUUUAAAUGGUUUGCUUUAAUAUAAUAUACAAAAAAAAAUUUUAAAAAAAAUUGAUCUUAAUCUCUAGAUUUCUUGGGUUGAUCUCCACGAGUACAAUUUGUCUGACCAUUAUCAAAAAAUGAGAAGCGUGCAUGUAGUUUAAGAUAAAAGUUUGUAUAUUACAAAUUAGAGAGGAAAACGAAAAAGAAGAUGAAGAUGUGAUCAAGUGUGAAAAGUAUUGGAGUAGUCUCCAAAAUAAUAAUUUCGAUGCUGGGCAUUGACAAGAUAACUCUGAAGCUCUCAACUUUAAGAUCCAUCACUUCCUCUGCCACCAUUUUCACAUUUACCCACACACAUAUACAAACAAAAAUUUGUUAGUCAAUAAUUAUCACCAAACUGUGGUUAUAACAAGGCUUUUGGAUAGUUGUGCUUGUUGAUGUUCUAGGUUCGAAUGAUAACAAAGUACAUCCGUUAUCUAUAUUUGAAUUACACUUAAAUUCAAAAUAAUAUAUCCAAAUUUCUAUUUUUCUUGUCUUGGCCACUUGACCAGUGUAGUUUUUGUAGACGUUUUUUUUCACUUUAAAAUAUAACUACAUAUAUCAACUGAUUUAACUUUUAAAUUUUUUGUUCACACUCAAAUAGAAAAACGUAAGUAAGCUAAGCUAUCAACCAAAAAAAAAUACUAAUUAAGAUUAAAUAUUUUUGCGUUUAUAUGAAAUAAAAAUUAAUUUCUGAUACAAAAGAAUUAAUAUUUUUGUAUUUGUUGGUGUUUCACACUACUAUACCUUUUUAAUAAUAAAGAAACACUAUUUCUUUUUCUAUUCAAUAAAUAUAUGUUUUUUAUUUGUGUAAAUUCAUUACCUUUGUUUGUUUUUAUACCAAAUGUUCUUUAUAUAUAAUGCCACUUUACUCGAUUGAAGCCAAGAACAUAUCAAAAACCCAUGCAAUAAGCACAGAGAAAGACCAAACACUUUUGUCUCCUCUUUCUUCAAAACCUUUACAUAUGAUCUUUGCCUCUUUUCUUACAAUGGGUUUUGCAUAACUUGCACCAAAAACCUUCCUCAAAAACCCUACACAUUAAAUCUCCCUUCACAUAUUCCCAACACAAGAACGAAACUCUAAAUCCAUUUUCACCAAAUAUUUUCCUUUUUCAAAUCCUAAACACUAAAAUGGAUUCAAAUGUGUUCAUCAAUAACCCAUCUUUAACCUUACCUUUCUCUUACACCUUUACCAGUAGCAGCAACAGUAGCACAACCACAAGCACCACCACAGACUCAAGCUCCGGUCAAUGGAUGGACGGUCGGAUUUGGAGCAAGCUACCACCUCCACUUCUUGACCGCAUCAUCGCUUUUCUUCCACCUCCCGCGUUUUUCCGGACACGUUGCGUCUGCAAGAGAUUCUACAGUCUACUCUUCUCCAACGCUUUCCUCGAGACAUAUCUACAACUACUUCCUCUUGGACACAACUGUUUCCUCUUCUUCAAACACAAAACCCUAAAGAGCUACAUUUACAAGAGAGGAGGAGGAACAAACGAUGAUGAUUCCAGUAAAGCUGAAGGCUUUUUGUUUGAUCCUAAUGAGAUCCGAUGGUACCGUCUCUCUUUUGCUUAUAUCCCUUCAGGGUAUUAUCCUUCUGGAUCAUCAGGAGGGUUAGUGAGUUGGGUCUCCGAAGAAGCUGGUCUUAAAACCAUUCUCUUAUGUAACCCUCUUCUUGGAUCCGUGAGUCAGUUGCCACCAAUUUCAAGACCAAGGCUUUUCCCUUCGAUAGGUCUCUCAGUAACACCAACCUCUAUUGAUGUUACUGUCGCUGGAGACGAUCUCAUAUCUCCUUACGCCGUGAAAAACCUCUCCUCGGAAAGUUUCCAUGUUGACGCAGGCGGAUUCUUCUCCCUCUGGGCGAUGACUUCUUCUUUGCCACGGCUUUGUAGCUUGGAAUCUGGUAAGAUGGUUUACGUGCAAGGCAAGUUUUACUGUAUGAACUAUAGUCCUUUUAGCGUUUUGUCCUAUGAGGUUACUGGAAACCGGUGGAUCAAGAUUCAAGCUCCCAUGAGGAGGUUUCUCCGAUCUCCAAGCUUGUUAGAGAGCAAAGGGAGGCUUAUUCUUGUAGCAGCCGUUGAGAAAAGCAAGCUUAACGUUCCCAAAAGCCUUAGGCUUUGGAGUUUGCAACAAGAUAACGCCACGUGGGUCGAGAUUGAACGGAUGCCUCAGCCGCUCUACACACAGUUUGCAGCUGAAGAAGGCGGAAAAGGAUUCGAGUGUGUCGGAAAUCAAGAGUUUGUAAUGAUUGUGUUAAGAGGAACCUCGUUGCAGUUGCUGUUUGAUAUGGUAAGAAAAAGCUGGCUGUGGGUCCCACCGUGUCCUUACUCCGGCUGUGGUGGCAGUGGCUCAGGCGGUUCAGACGGUGAGGUGUUGCAGGGUUUUGCUUAUGACCCGGUACUUACUACACCGGUGGUUAGUCUUCUUGAUCAGUUAACACUUCCAUUUCCUGGAGUUAGUUUUUAAGACUUUUGGUUAAGAGACUACUUGUUGUUUCCACUUCUGGCUUUAAGACUGCUUGUUGUUUUUCUCCAAAAUUCUGUUGCUUUAUCUUAUUCCUGUCUGUUUGUAGUAAGUUUAUAUUUCUAAUGUCAAAUGUCUAAUCUUUGACAACAACAUAUACAGACAGAUAUCUUUUUGCGUACAAACCAAUCCUAAAUCCAUCAAACUCAAAAACAUAAGUCUUCGGAGAAUGGUUUCACUUGAGCUUAACCUGGAGAAUGAGAUGAACUUUGCGGUUCAUUAUUCUCCUGAGUUCUUCAUUGGCCUCAAUUCCUAUCCUCCUGCAAGAUUAGCAGAUCCUUGAGUCAUCGAUUAGUCAAAAGAGUGAAUUUUGAAACGGCGUGUGAUCUUGUAUGCUCUUACCCGAUUUUGGAACCGCCCUUGCCUACAAGAAUUUUGCGUUGGCUAGGUUUAGGAGUGAUGAGAUGCUGUUCAAUUCUAAGAGACCCGUCACGCAGCUCUUUCCAGUCCACUAGACGGUGCUCGACGCCAUAUGGGAUUUCCUACAAUUUGUUUCAAUCAAUCCUGUAAAUUGUCAUCUUUGGGAUAGACGGAAACCGAUACAGAAGAUUAUCUAGUAGAGGUUGUAGUAUUACCUGAUGAACAUGGUCUAGUAAUCUCUCCCUAACAACUUCAAGAGAAAUGUUCUUCAAGACUUCUUCACUCAUCGUGAAUGCAUCUUCUUCCCAUGGUUUUUUUACUGCCUGAUCCAUUAAAUAUUGGCUAAGAUCUUUAACUCCUGAUCCCUUAAGUCCAGAUAUCAUGAAGUACCUAGAACAACAACCAGGGAAAAAAAACAAAUUUUUUCAAUCAAUUCGAGAUACUUCCUCGGUCAUUGUUUUUAAACUGAGUCAGGUAUAGAUAUCUACCUUUCAUAUGCCGGAAGAUCUUGGAACUCCUCAGCAACCUUUAACAGAUCUUUUUUCUUCUCAACCAGAUCAACUUUGUUCAUACAUAAAAUGCGCUUUUGUUUCGGAUUUUCUUCUUCGCCCAUGUAUUUGAUCAAGCGUACCACUCUUGAAUCGGGACUAUAUAUAUCAAACAGAAAACAUAAUUCACAAACUACAAAAUAAGUCUGAGAACUCUAUUUCUACUUGUCAGUAAUGCAAGACCACAGCCAUGAGUCCUUUUUCAAAAGAAAGAAAUAGAUGCAUGUUUCCAUGGAUAAGCUCGGGGAGAUGAACAAGAUAUCGAAACAGAGAAGCUAGUAAUAAUAAGCCCACCAUACGAUACCCCACUUAAUAAUGCUCCUAACCAUACUACUCUCAGUUACGAGAUAACUUAUGUGAAGCUAAUAUAAAGUACAGAAACGAGUAAAUGACUAACCUCAUGAGAUGCCUAUGGACAUCAAACAUAACAAUGAGGACAUCAAACAGGUCAACAGAAGUCCAAGCAUUUUGCACACGAGAUUUAAUAUCUUUGUAACCAUAUCCGCUUUUCUUCAGCAUCAGACCCGGAGUAUCGAAGAAACACUGCAUGGUUCACAAAUAUUAAAUAUUUCAAUCUACAAAUGAUUGCAACCAUAAAAAUCUUGACCUCAGAACUUAACCAUACCAAGUAGUUUCCAUAGGCAACAGAUACAGAGAAAACUUACGACUUGUGUAUCUCCUUUUGUCAAUACUCCUAACACUUCAUGAGUCGUCGUGUUAGUCUUCCGUGAAGCAGCAGCAACCUUUGUUCCAACCUAAACUUAGACAUAACGAAACACUAAGCAUAAUUAUCAACAAGAGGCAAUAUAAAGAUAAACAAUCACUUUAAAAAUCGCAACUUUAGGAUUAAACAAAAGUCAUAUCAGCUCCAAAUUCAACCAAAUAAGCAACGAAUUCAUACAUAAACAUAUACACAAAGUCUCAUUCGAUUCUCAAAGACCAAUCACAGAAAUGUAAAAAUUGAGGAAAUGAGCCAACCAUGAAAUUAGUCAGCGACGAUUUCCCAGCGUUCGGUGGACCAAUGAUACCGACAUUAAGAGACUUCUGAUCUUCUUCUCUAACUUCACCUUCACCAAGUUCUUCAUCAGGUGACUCUAAAGCCGCCUCUAACAGAGCCUUAGCGAGAAUCCUAGACCUAUCAAUAUUAUCCUCAUCAUCAUCCUCAGAGCUCACUUCUUCUGCAACUUUCAAUUUACCUUUCUCAGUCAAGUUUCCAAAGAAGGCUUUGUUCACUCUUUCUCUGUACCCUUUAUCCCAAGUUGCUUCCUUGGGCUUCUUCACAGAAUCUCCAUGGGAAUCUUCGAUUGGGUAUUGACUACUAUCGAAAACAGAGUCGCUGCUUGUUCCGUCUUCGUUGACGGAAGUGGGUUCGUCUAGAUUCGGCUGCGCUGAGUAAAAUCGGCGGAGAAAGUUUUGAGCUUGAUGGGAUUUGUGAGGUGUUGUUGUUCGUGAGAUGGAAAUUAGUAUACGUAGAGAUCUAAAAGCUUUCAUUUUUGCAACAAUGGUAAAGUAGCGAUCUCGGAACAAAGAGGCUUCGAGGGUUUUAGAGGUUUUGAUGUUUUGGGGAAAGUGGUGACAAAGUAACUCAAUAUUACAGAUAGGCCCCUCAUUUUUUUUGCUAAUCCACUUUUAAUCCCUAACUUUGUAUUUGAUACAAUAAGAUUAAGAGCAAUCCCAAUUUGGAGGUAUCAAAUGACUGAAGUACAAGGCUACUAAGUUAUUAGUCUAUUUUAUUUUGGGCAAAAUAUUAAACAUAAUGCAAAUAUUUUGGGUGAAUCUGUAUAAUAUAAUACUUUGAUCAAUUCAGAAGAAAAGGAGACAAAGUUCUUCCUCCAAGUCUCCAACGACAAAAAAAAAGGACUAAACUUCUGAGAAAAAACAUCUCUGACAUCCCUAAAACAAUGCAAAGGUAAAACUAACUCACCUGGCUAAAGAAUACAACAGAUGGAAAGUAAUAACUUAAAAUCAGAUCAUAAAUUCAGUAUCUGAAAAUCUGAACAAAAGUGAGUGAAGACUUGUUGUAACAAAGCCCCCCAUCAUAUCGCCUUUUCUUUAACGCGGGUUUGGUUUGGUGCCAAAUUCUAAAACGCCAUUCGCCCAGCAAGCCUACUUUCUGAGAUUCGUCUGUCUAUGGCUGCAUUUAUUGAGUUCAUCUGCAACAAGUACCAAAAGAAACAAACUUGGUUCUGAGUUUAAAAGUUGGAUGCUUUAUUUUGAAAGAGUUAAGCGAGUUUUCGUUUUGGUUCCCCAAGGCCUUGUGAUUGUGCAAAGGCGCCAAACUUUGCAAAGUUAAGAAUAUAAAAAGAGCUGACCUGGGUUUGAAACCAAACCUGUAGAGUAUGAUCUCUUGUGGAACCAAUCACCACAUUUUUUAUACAAUACAAGAGACAGAGGAAAUAUAAUGAAAAACAAACAGAUACAAACGCAAUUUUCUUCACUACCUAUUGCGAGUACGAGUACUAUAGCUACUAAUGAUACCUUUCAAACAUUAAUGAUUCAAAAUGCUCAGUUUUUUGCCUAAGUAAUUCUUAUCAUAUUCUAAGGUAAGAAAUUAUAAACUGAAUAAUAUGGUGGUACCUCUUAGCACAGAAACAAUAGGAUCUGGAAUAGAAAAGUAUAAAUAAAGCCUACCAAAUGGGUUAGACGUGCAAAAGCAAACUCUUCUUAACUUUAAAAAGGGCAAAUCAGAACUUACCUGGCUGGUUUCAUCGUGCACUUUGUAUUUCGGUAAGGCCAUUCUUCUUUCCUCCUGCAGAUACAGACACAUUGUGUCAGAUUUAAAACCAAUGGAUACCAUUCCAACAUGAUGUAUAGGAAUAAACUAACCAUAGACAUCGCUUCAUCAUCCCAUACAAGAUAGACCUCAUUAGGCUGAUUGCUAGGAGCUUUAUUUGCAAUUACAGGAGGUGGACCAAUUGAAGGACCGCUAGUGUUUGGGCCAGAGGCAUAAGAAUGAGCAUUAGUCCCACCUAUUGCAACAAAACAUGAUAAAGGUAUUACAAUUUGAUACGAAACAGCUAAACCAAACGUAAGCCAAUGAUUCUAAGAACUUAAGAUUGAACCUGGAAUAGAAUUGUUAGGUGGAUAAGCAUUUGCUGAUCCUAAAGCAUCUGCAUGAGACGGUUGCUGAGCCCCACCAACAGGCAGAGGAGCAGAAAAUGGUGAAGCUUGAGAAGGAAUGCUGUUAUUCACAACAGGGAACAGAGGUUGAGGAACCGGCAUUGCAGGUGAUGAUGAAGGAAUCCCAGGAGGAGUUACUCCAGUGACUGGUGAAGGUUGUACGACAGGAGCUGAGGUUGGCUGAGUCAUCCCCAUAUUUUGAACAGGAAAAAGUGGUUGUGGUCGAUACCCUAAAUGGGCAGCUGGAGGUACAGAAAGAGCUGGAUUUUGUGGAUACCAUUGUUGUGGACGAGGAGGUGGCAUUUGCCAUACAGGAGCAGGAUGACGCAUAGGAGGACCAGGAUAAUACCUGCUGACACGAAUUUAUUUAUCAUGGUCAAUAGCGAUACAUAUUACAAUAUCUUAGAUCAUGAACUAUUUCAAAAAAACUGUUUACUACAGGUGUUAUUGUGGUCUUCAAGAGGAACAAAAGAAUGGUUCUAGGACAGAGUUCUAUCUUGGAAAAUCCCAAGAACAAGCUAAGGAAACUAAGAACCUUAUGAAUCAUAUUUGGUUGAGUGCAACAAUAUCUUAGAUAGCGAUCUCUUUCAAAAAAUGUUUACUAAGGGUGUUAUAGGAGAACAAAAGUAGAAAAGUUCUAGGAUAGAGACAAGCUAAAGAAACCAAGAACCUUUUGCAUCAAGAGAACUAAAAGAAAAAUCUUUCCCCAUCACUUAGCAUGGAUAGGAUUUUGAAAAACAAAGAUAACAUCUGAAAAUUCAACAAGUAACUGCGACAGAGAGAGUAUAGUGUAGUUAGUACAUACAUUGGUCGUGCAGCACCAGGAACUUGUUGAGGCGGAUAUACCAUUCCAUAUGGUCUAGGAACUACACCACCAAGAGGGGCGGACGGAAUCUCAACUUUUGCAACUUUGGCUGGAGGCUCUUCCUCUGCAGAAAACAUAACUUCAGUUCAGAAGGUACCAUAUAAAAUAAGCCAAGACAAUAACUUAAAAAAGGCGAAAAGCCGCAUGCAAAAUCAAAACGAAUUCAUGACCAUUAGAUGCAACAGAUCCACAUUACUUGAUGAAGAGACAUACAAAUUCCUUGCCUUACUUCUCCAAAUGAAUUGCUGAUAAUGUAAACAGUACUCUCACUUCCUUACCUUCUUCUCCGUAAUGAGCAGCCAAGACAUCGGGUGGAAUUCCUUGCAUUCCAUAUAUUUCAAUAUCAGUUGAAUCUCGACCCGUUUUAGCAUUAGGAACCCUGGAGUGAAAAAUGUAAAAAAUAUCAAAGUUAGUAGUGUCAUGAAAAUCAGAAGAAGUGAGAGCUAUAUAAUCGUGCGUCUCCGCAAACCCAAGCUAUGGAACUAAAAGAGUUAUCUAAUCAAAUCAAACGAAAUCAGCCUAGACAAGAACUGAGUUAAUCUUACAUAGGUCUCAAAACUGAAUGAGUUACUCAACUAAACGAAGCAAAGUGAAAAAAAAAAAAAAACCAAAUUCCAAAUUCAACAUGCAAACACAUUGACCAGUACCACAAAUUCCUAGAAAAACCUAUCAAGCAAAAGCAAAAGACAGUUUCUUUACCAAAAUUUGCACACAGAAAUUAGGGUUUAUGACCAGACAUACAAAAUUAACCAAACCCAUUCAAUAGCUAACACAAAAAAAAACGAUUCAAAUUCCCUAAUCAUCCAGUAAACAUGCACAUUCAACCGAUUCAAACCACAAAACAACAAUCAAAAUUAACGCAAUCUAACAUAAAUCAAAAGACGAUCGAUCACACACAAGAGGAUAAAAAUCAGAACUUGACCAAAGAUCAUAGAGGCAUCAACCCUAAUAUCCAAAUUAACCUAAUACCAAAAAAAAGUGCUAAGAGGAGAGAGCAAAAGAAAGAGGCACAUACUUUGUAACAUUCUCUUUAUGAACCUGAAGAACAUGAAUCACCAUGCCACUAGCUGUAGAAAGCUUCUUAUGACAGACAUGACACUUAAAGUGCUUAGCUUUCUGAUGCUGCACAAGAAUCUUCUCAUCAUCAAACUCUCUAUCGCAGUAAUAACACCACACCUUCUCUGAAGCUCUCUUCUUCUUCUUACCCAUCACUAAACCUUUCUCCUAUGUCUUGAUUUCAAGAUUCUAAUUGAAAUCUCUCUCUCGUCUCUCAAAGUCUCGUUCUUUGUCUCCUUCCUCCGCUCGCUAGGGUUUCUAAUUGGUAACAAGCGUUUCUUCGAUUUCUUCUACGAUCUUCAGAUUCUCUGUUUUUUUUAUUUUAUCUAAUGGUUUACUCUUCUUUGUAUUUAUAAGAAAAGGAACUUUCUUGUGUAAUACUGCGUAAAAACCCCAAAACUUUGAUUAAUUGCAUAUGUUUCCCGAAUUCUCACUAAAUUCUAUAUUUUGUUAGUAAGAAGGUAUUGCAAAAUAGUCAGGAUGGCCGAGUGGUCUAAGGCGCCAGACUCAAGUUCUGGUCCUCGUAAGAGGGCGUGGGUUCAAACCCCACUUCUGACAAUUAUUUUUUUGUUAUUAUAAGACUUUUAAUUCUCUUUCUUUAUAGUCUCAUUGUUGACUAUGAAAACUAAGAUCGGACCCGCCGUCCACCGCGGGAGAAUAUUGAUUUACAUAUGUUGCGUUUAAUAUUGUGUGUGUUUUUUAGUAGAACGAAUCGUGUAGUAUACUUAUAAAUAUUCAUAAUAACGAAUUGUAGAGAAAAUGUAAAAUUGUUUAUAAAUAUACCCAUCGUAUUAAUUAUGAUUUUAAAAAUAGAAUUUUGUGUUUUAAAAUUCUAAAAUUAGACGAUUCAUGGGAAUUAGAACAGUCAAAAUAGGUCAAAAACCGCGGGUCGAGCCCACAUCAUCUCACUAUGGGGCAGAUUUGGGAAAAUAUAUUAAACCCGCAAAUAAGUGGGUCACAUGGAUUAAUUCGCAGUGGGUCAUAGGUUUAAUCGGUUUUCAUCCGCAGGUUGGCGGAUCAGCCCAAAUAUUAGUAUUUAUUGAUAAAAUUAUAAUUUAUUCAACAUGUGGUAAUUUAAACAAACUUUUAAUAGUAUUUUUUAUUUAUUUAUUUAUUUUAGUAGUAUUUGAAAUUUUGGUUACUUUAAAAUUAUUUAAACAAAAUCCAUGGACAAUCCCGCAAAUCCGCAUACAUUCGCGGGACGGGUUUGUAUUUCAUAUAUGCUACCCGCGGGUCGUGUGGACCGACUAACUACAAGUCAAAAUAUUUUUUGUCUAUCGCAAAACGGACUUAACGGGACGAAUCAACUCGCUUUGACAGUUCUAAUUGGAAUAUUAUUUAGUCAUACAACAAAAUGAAGUUUGGACAUAGGAAUAAUAUAAUAUGUAUCUUAUUUGUUAGAUGAGAGAUUGAAAGAUGAAGUAUAAUGAUUGAAAAUUAAUUGUUAUUUUUCAUGAUUCACAAAAUUUAAUAAAUACUUAUCAUCUUGUUGAAUAAUUCUAAAAUCAUAUUCAAGAAAUCUUUAUAAAUUGAAAAUUAAACUUCUUUGGUAAACUAUAGGUAUAAAAAUAUCAUAAUUUCGAUUUAAUCUAAUUAAAUUAAAAUUAGUUACAUGGAUUUCAUAUCUAUUUAAUUUACACGACCAAAAUAAAAAUAUCUAUUUAAUUUACACGACCAAAAUAAAAAUAUCAAUUUAAUUUAUAAAAUAGAUGGGUUAUUUGUGAUAAAUUUUCUAGAAAUCUUUAGAAGCAAGUAAAAUAUCUUUCAAUUAAUGAUAAUUGGCUAAAAUGAAUGAAAUUAAUGACAAAAACGUUGAUUGUUAUGGAAUUAGUCCCAAAAAUAUAUGAACAAAUUUAUUAUACGUAAUUAAUGUAUAAUAUUGUUCAGAAUAUGCUUUUAUUAUUAGUUAUCAUAAGUACAAUCAGAUUUUAUUUGAUUUCCAUAAAUAUUUGAUUUUAAUUCGAUUUUUCAUUAUUAAUUUGAAUUUAUAUUCCAAAAAAAUUUCAAAGAUCCGAUUUUAGAAUUUCGGGUCAAUUUUCUGAUUUUAACCCGACCCAUUUUCAUUUGUACUUCUCUUUUAAUAGUAUAGAGAUAACGUAUAAAAAAAUAUGUUGUUAAAAACAGUAAAAGAUUUUAAAUAAGAUUUUCUAUAACUUUUUUUUUAUUGUUAUGAGACUUUUAAUUCUCUUUCUCUAUAGUUUCAUUGUUGACUAUGAAAAUAACGUAUAAAAAGAAUAUAUGUUGUUAAAAACAGUAAAAGAUUUAAAAUAAGAUUUUCUAUAACAAAGAAACUUUGACCAGAAAACAUAGUUUCUAUAACAAAGAAAAAGAAACGAUAAGAGAUAAGAAUUACAUAACUAUUAGAAAAGAUUAUAAAUAAAGGAUAGUUAUUCAUUAUUUCUUAAAUACAUACAAAAAAACCUUGCAACAAAAAAUUUAUAAAGAUAUGGGUGCUAAAUUGAAUUCAAUGAUUUUAUUAAUGUUCGUGGUAACAAUGGUAAUAGCAAUGGAAAAUGUCAAUGGAGAGACAAAAGCUCAAUGCCAAGAUAAUUGCAUUCUAGGUUGUGCCACCACCGGAGCACGUCCGAACAUGUGCCUCCAGAGUUGUUACCGUAGAUGCCAAGGCAAACCUGGUCGUGCAUUAGGUAAUCAACUAACCAUUUUUUCAAAAAAAAAAAACAAUAAUCUAACAACUUUGGAAAUAUAUCAAAAAAAAUAUAUAUUUUGAUGAUUAUUGCGAUUUUUUCUAACUAUAGAAAAUAUAUUUCCUCUUUGUAUCAAUAUAUUUAUUUUGUGAAGAAUUUAAGUAAAUUCAAGUAAGUUUGACUAGUAUAAUAAUAAUUAACAAUGGAAUGUUCAAAUGAUUGAGCGAUAUAAUUAAUUUUCAAAAAUGUGAAAACAUGAAAAUAUUAUAAUAUCAUAAACUAAAAAUAUUUCUUCUUUGUAUAGUGGAAGCGCGGACUUAGAAGAGACGAAGAAGUCAUGUAUCAGUGUUGGACUCUUGGGACUUUUAAACCAAUUUUUAUUUCUACUUCUGUAUCCUUAUGUAAUCAAUUGUAACGCUAUUAAAUAAAAGAAAAUAAAAUUUGUCUCAUGUUACAAAUUUUGUCUCGACUUUAAGCAUGUCUCUGUCUAAGACUCCUCUUAGAUUUGAAUCUCAUAUUUCAUAAUUUUCGAAGUGACAUGUAGCGGCUCAUUGCUUUUCUUGAUUCAUAUUUUCAACUUUAGGUAUUUCAAAGUGUACUAUACCUUGUGGAUAAAGCAAAUCCAUAUGACCAUAUUUACAUGAGACAAAAGUGAAACCAUUAACCAUCUCUGUUUCAGCUGCAAGAGAGAAACACUUUGUUCCAAUUUAUAGACUUAAGAUAAAACUGCCACUAUCACGUUUCUCCUAUCCAAAGAAAAAAAAAGAGUACGUAAUGAAACAGCAAAAUUGGCUCUCACUUGUUUUGCCGUUUCGCUGUGCUUAAAUCCGAAGCUUUUAUAUUUUUCUACAUUGAUUUGAGUUAGAAAUAAUUGGUACGUCGCGGGACUUUCUGAUUUUAACCCUUCAUUAGCUUGGUUUUAUGCGUUGAACCUCUCUGCGGUACAUAUAUUAUUGGUAUCUUAUAAUAGCAAAAGAAAAACAAAGAAAUUUGAAUACACCAAGAAGCCAAAAAAAAAAAAACUAUGAUGAGAAGAAACUCAUCCUUAAAUGAGAGUACCGAUAAUAUGAAAUUAGAAUGGUUCAUUUCUACAAAGAAAAGAAGAGAAAAAUUAAGUUGACAAAUCAGAGAAUACCUUGGUUUCUUCACACUCGGUGAGCCAAUGAAGUGAUCCAUACGGGCUUCUUGCAAUCAGGAAUUCGAUAUGGAGAAGUACCGUUAACCAGAGCCGGUCCGGAGGGCAAGCAAGUGAAGCCAUCGCUUAGGGUCUCACAUUAUAAAAUAUUUUUUUUGGGAGAAUUUUUUUUUUACAUUAACAAAAAGGCCUAAAUUUUUAGUUAUGCGUAGGGUAUCAAAGAAAAUUUUGAAACUUUGGACCGGCCCUGCCGUUAACGUACCUCCAAGUGAUGGUGCUAAAAUCGAAAACUUCACAAAGUAGUAGCAUUGUCUAAGCCAAACUCAGAUGAAUUAUAUAACCAAGUGCCAGCUUGUAAGUCCCUAAAUUUGUCGUUACCGAAUCCAAGACUAGGACAUGAGAAGUCAUACUCUCCUUCUUCAUAACCUCUCGAUGAUGAGAUGUUGAAUGUUGGAAAGAGGAAAACUCACUGGUGUUAUGAAAACCGAGUUUUAGAAGCUGCAAAGAUACAACUAACCAUUCACUUCUUAAUAACUCUUUUUCUAACUAAAAACGUUCUCUUCUUCUUUCCUAACAUUUACGUACAACAAAAUUUUAAUUUAACCUUUUCUUUUUAUUCUUGCCAAAAAAUGAAUUUCAGCUAUUGUUGCACCUAAAGGGAGACAUCCUAGUUUUAAUUUCAGCAAUGUUCUCUAGCUUCCGUGAAAAUAUCAAUAUCCAGAUUAUGAAACUUAUGAAGUCGAAAGGAGGACUUAUUUUAAUUAUUUUAACUAUAACAUAUAUAAUGCAGACUUAUCAUUUACACAGUUGACAUAUAUAUUUUUUUGGAAAUUUCGUGUGCGUCAGGAAAUGGCUGGCAUUUAUUUUUCUUUCUUUAUAAUUUCUGCUGGAUCGUGUUUCUUUAAAAAGAGAUUUAGUUAGAUCUUUACCAAAGAAAGUAAGCGUAUGUACUUGAGAAAGAGCAAUUUGAUACGUGUCGUGUAAUUAUCGCACUAAUAUUCUAAUUAUGGUUUGUAUUUUAUAAGAAAACUUACUAGCAUCGUGGUCGGGUGGUCAUAAACAAACUAAUUAUCUUGGUCAUAAACUAAUUAUAAGAAAGCUUACUAGCAUCGUGGUCAUAAACAAACUAUGUUUUGGAAAUAAAAAGUCUUCGUCAUAACUUAAUCAUUUAGCAUAAUUAACUAAUAUUAACGUACUCGAUGUCAAAAAAUAAUAAUGUUAAUAUUCUCCUAUAUAGAAGUCAAUUCAAUAUGUCAACAAUUGGAAAAUUUCAGACUGUCUUAUGGAAUAAUGGGAAUACGUAUGAAAAAUAGGAAAAUCAGGUAUAAUAUCAAUUAACAUUUUAAUUGAUUAAUUUGACAGUCAGAACAGACAAUAACGUGUAUAACAUUACGUGACCAGAAUUGUUUAAAUAUAUUGAAACUGUCAACAAUUUGAAAAGCCGUAUUAACUUCGUUGUUAAUGUAAAUUGGUGUUGAUCUUGUGUAUAUAAAGGAAGGGCGAGACGAAAGUAAAUUUCACCAGAGACGAUACACGAACACAAAAAAAAAAAAGAGAAGUAAUCGAAACAUAAUUAAUUCAUCAAUGGCGAUGUCGGGAACAUACAUGACGGACGUUCCUCUGAAGGGAUCGGCGGAGAAACACUACAAAAGGUGGAGUAGCGAGAACCAUCUCGUCCCUGACGCCAUCGGCCACCUCAUCCAUGGUGUCACCCUCCACGACGGUGAUUGGGACUCUCACGGCGCCAUCAAGAGCUGGAAGUACACUCUUGGUUCGUAUAUCUACUCUUUUUAUGUCUAGACUCAUGAGUAUAUAGCCACUUUACAAAUGAUUUGUCUUAACAUGGAAAAAAAGUAAGGUUUGUUUAAGUAUGGUAAGAUAUGAAUGUGUUUGGUGAUCAGUAAACAAAAUGUGGUGUUUGUUUGUGUGAUGAAGAUGGGAAGGAGCAAGUGUUUAAGGAGAGAAUUGAGAUGGCCGAUGAGAAGAUGACGGUGGCGUUCAAUGCGCUCGAUGGUCAAGUCAUGGAGGAGCUUAAGGUGUAUAUAGCAAACUUACAAUUCAUCCCCGGUUCCCAAAAUGGCUGUGUUUGCAAAGUUAGUGUGAUUUGGGAGAAACGCACCCAAGACUCCCCAGAGCCCACCAUGUUCAUGAAGUUUCUCGAGAAGAUGGUUGCUGACAUGGAUGACCAUAUCCUCCAAAACGAGGAAUGAUGGAUCGAUAUUGUUUAAUCAUCAACAUGAGGAAUUAUGUACGUUUGUAUUUUAUUUGUGUUCAUCUUGUAUAAUCAUGAAAUUACUACUUAUAUAUUAUCAUCAUGGUGUUGUAUGUCCAAAUUUCAAAAAUCUAAUAUAUACAAUUGUUUAGUUAUUCAUAAAGCAAAAGUGUUAUUCACUACGAAUAUUUUAGUUAUUUCGAAUUCGAAGUGUGGUAACUUUUUUUUUUUUUUUGAUAAAAAAGUGUGAGGUAACUUUUGGAGAAAUUAAAGAAAGUCCAUAUUUCCCACGAAACAUAAACGGAUACCAUUUUAUGCACAUAACUAAGAUAUAACGCCCCGGACCACAUUUUUGCUAUCCGUUGCAGCCAGAAAAAAUAAGAGUAAUGCAACCAAAAAAUUUUGUUUCAAAACAUCUCUAAGAUCCAAUAUAUGCACAUAAGAUCAUUACCACAUUUCUCCUACCCGUAGAAGCCAAAAAAUAAUUAAGAGUAACGCAACAUGAAGAUUGGUCAGAACAUCUCUUGUGCUCCGUAGAUGUCACUUGUUUUGCUCUUUGGGGGAGGCAGUUUUUCUAACACCCAGCUCGGAGAGUCACUUAGCCAGAGACCUACACCGGUUUCUUUGUGCUUAAAAUCCGGCGCUUUUGGGUGUCUCUGCAUGGAUUAGAACUAUAAAUGAUUAGUAUGUUACGUAUAUGUGAAAACGAUUGAUUAAAAGGUAAGGGAGUUUUCACCUUGUCCAAUCUAUUGUCCCACCACUUAUUCAUGUUUUCCACCAAGUCCUUCCAUGAUUCCUCUCCGGCUUCAAAUGUUUUACAGAAGCAAGAUUGUUAAACAAUUAAACAAAAUUCGAUUGCAUCUUCUGAGUUAGAGACAAAAUGUUUAGUUGUCAUUCCAAUUCAUAGACUAUUACAGAUUCAUUGGUAAGCAAAGAGUUUCCUUACCCUUUGGUUUUGGUGCAUAUUUUGGAAUAUCAAACUUCACGUCUUCGAGCUCGGACAAUAUCUCUGUGGGAGCUUUGUUAAGCCAAAGAGCUUGACUCCCGUCUUUCUUCUUGAAAUCAGGGUGUUUAGGAUUAACCUGUAGCAAGAGAUAUCAAGAAAAAGAAAGAAAGAAGAACCUUAGACAAAUGUAUCACGGAAUUGUAACAAAAAGAACAUACUAAGACAAGUUUAAUUACCGAUCCGUUCUGUUUGCUUUCACGGUAAUCACACCAUUCAUCCGGUUUAUCAACAAGAUCAAACCAAAGAUUAGUUCCAACAUCUCUUCCUCUUUGAACGCUAGCUAAGAACAAGAAGACAAAUGUUCAUGGUUAUUACCAAUUUUAAACAUCCAAACCAGUAAGAAUAUCACAGUACUGAAAAAAUAAAACCGGGAUUUCCGCGCUAGACGCUUAGCUUACCAGAAUGCUUAAGCACACCUUCAUUUUGAUUCACCGUUGGCAUAACUUUUGGUAGGGCUUUAGAACCUUCAAUGUAGUGGAGAUCACGAACCAUAACUUGAUGUGAAAAGCUACCAUGAAAGCUUUUAAACAACUGAACACAUGCUUGGUCAGAAUUUGCUCCAGAUUGAAUCACAUCUCCUAAAAUCUGUCCGGUAAUAUGAACCCGAUCGUUUUUCUUCAAAUAACUGUUAGCCGUAUGAGCUAAAUCCCCUUCAAACAGUACCGGAAUCCUAAUGUUCACAAAAUCAAUAAAUGUUUUAUCAAUAACAAUAAACCAAUGCAUCAUCCUAACAAAGAUCAUUGCAAUUUCAACUUCAUAACAAAGAUAAGCAUAAUCAACAUGUCCAAAGUAAAUUUCACAGAAACUUAGUAAUACAAGAACCAAAUCCACAAGUACUCAUCAAAAUGCAGAAUCAAAACCCAUAAAUUCACAGUUCAUGGCUUAAAGUCUUAAACUUUACAAGAACCAAAUCUACAAGACAAUCAACAAAAUUCAGAAUCAAAGCCAUAAAGUCUUCGACUUUAGCGACUUUAGCCAAGUACAGAGUUGCAAAACGACAAUAGACCAACAUGCAAAACUCUAAAACCCAAAAAAAGCAACAAAACUUCAAAGACUAACCAGAAAUUACUAGACGAAUCAGACACAGAUUUGGAAUCAGAAGAAGGUUCAUGCGAAAUGACUGUGCCUGCCCAGAAUUUUCCAUCGAGAGUAGAGUCGAACUGAACUGGUUGGUGAACGUACCCAAUCAAAUCAAUAGAAUUCGCAAUUUUGGGUUGGUACGGUACCUCCGUCGGUCUCGGCCACUCUUCCGUCGAUUUCUCAGCUCUGCUUCCUCCUCCGCGAGUACGGCUACUACUUUCAGCAGAAAAAGUUGAAAGAUAUUGGUGAGAAAGAACCCAUGAUUGUUUAGAAGCUGAAUUUAACGAAGGUCUUAUGGAUUUCGAUAGUGAUCUUGCAAGAAACUGCAUUUUGGAGAAGAUUCAAGUUUUUAGGGUUUAUGGGGUUUGACGACAAAGAAAGAAAGAGUUCGCCUUUUUAGAUUCUCGUUUUCGACAAAGAAAGAAAGAUAAAACGACGUCAUUCAAAGUUAACCGAAGCAUAAAGAACCAAACCAAAAUUGAUUCGAAAUUUGAAAAUAUCCUAAUGAAUCCUAAAUUAUAGAACUGCAACACAACCAAAAUAAUUUAGGUUUCCGAAAAUAUUCGAAAUAUAAUUUUUAAAAAUAUUAAUUUUUUUUAGACAAUAUAAUCAAAAAUAGUCGAAAAGUAUCCAAAAUAUUUAAAAAUAACUAAAAAUAUGUCCAAAAAUAUUUGAAAAUAAUUGAAAUAUCCGAAACAAAAUAUCCGAAUGAUACUAAACUAUAAAACCGAAAUAAUUGAAACCGAACCGAAAUUUAAAAUACUUUAGAACUAAAACCGAAUGAAACCGAACUGGAUACCAUUAGGACUAUGUUUUUUCUUAUAAAACGUUUCGUUUUUGACGGGGCAAAUUUAGAGAUCGCAGAUUUUAUGAGGGUUAUUUUGUAAUUUAUAUUUUGUUUAGUUCUAACUUCACCGUCCGCGGCGGGAGAGAACGCUGGGAAAACAAAGAAACCUUCAAAUCGGGAAAUUCGAGAAACCCUAAAUCGACGAAAAAGAGGUAUCUUUGAAUCAGAAGCUUAGUGUGUUCAUACGAUGAAGAGUCAAUGGUCUAAUUUCCAUCAGGUUUUUCAUCUUUCCCUGGUCUUAGACUCUCGACGUUGUCCAAUUUCGUACCAUCUCUGAUUCUAUUCUCAAACUCGUUGUCUUCGCAGAUUGGGAGAAACUCUUUCUUAGCUGCUUCUGCUGUCUACGUUUCAAGCGAAUUCAACUUCGUAAACACAUCUCUUCUUAAUCGAAGAAGCUUCUGUUUUGCAGAAGGAGGUAAAUUUCUUAAUAUUGGUUGUGUGAUACUUUUCAAUUGUUCUUGCAUAGAUACAUGAAUUGGUUCAAGGGUUUGGUCUAGAUUGUUGUUUUAGCUUGAUUGAAUCGAAAAAUAUGUGCUUUAGCUUGAUGGUGAACUGGAUUGUUUACUUUUCUGAUAAUCAAAUUUUAGCUGAUCUCUGUAAUUUGCUAUUUAGAUCGAUCCAGCUUUGUAGUGUUGAAAUCGGAGGCGGAGUUCAACAGUGCAUUGAGUAAAGCUCGAGGUAGAUAAAUGAACAAUCAUGUGUUUCUUUUGUUAACUACUUCAGAGCUUAGUAUUAUCAGCUCUGCUUAAUUUUCUCUUGAUGUUAUCUAUUUUUUUCAGAUGGAUCUUUGCCAUCGGUUUUCUAUUUCACUGCCGCUUGGUGUGGACCUUGUAAGUUUUAGUUCCAUGAAAGCUUGUGGAUAGUAGUUUUUUCUACGAGUUGCGUUAUUAAGUUAUGUAUUAGUGGUUUGACUCUAGGCAGGCUUAUCUCUCCUGUAAUAUUGGAGCUCAGUAAUAAAUAUCCUGAUGUAACAACGUAUAAGGUCGACAUUGACGAGGUAUGUUUGCGUUUAUAUAUCUAUCAUCACUGGCAUGGCUUUUAUAGGUCUCUACAAGUGUCAUCAUGCGACCGAAUUCACCAUUGUUUAUGGUUUUUUUCUGUGGUUAGAAGCUUUUAAAGUAUCUUCUAUCAAAUCCUUUCAAUUAGUCGAUAUGUCGAACCAAAUGAAUAACUCAACUAACCUAAAGUCUGAGAUAUAUUGCUACACUAUGGUUGCUUUAACUGGUUGCUGAUGUCACAUCCUUCAAAGCGACAUAAGUCACUUCGACUGAUAUUUUGUGGUUGAGUCUCACAGACAUAAAGCUAUCUUCCUAUGAGUGCCAUUGUAAGCUCCAUUGACAAAGAUAUCUCCUAUUCCAUAUUUGCAGGGCGGUCUUUCAAAUGCUAUUGGGAAGUUAAACGUCUCUGCUGUGGUAACAUCCUCUGUUCCUUUCAAAUAUUACUUUUACAUUCUCAGAUCAAGCAUGAACUAGUGUUGCAUCUAAAUGAGCUCUAAUGUUAUCAAUGUUGAGAUCCAUCUGAUGAGGCAUUAUGAUAAUUUGAUGAAUGCAGCCAACACUGCAAUUCUUCAAAGGCGGCGUGAAGAAAGCAGAGAUUGUUGGCGUUGAUGUGGUGAGGCUGAAGAGUGUCAUGGAACAACUAUACAAGUGAGAGAAACUUUCUGACUUAUGUACACUACAUUGCUUUGAGUUGUGAUUAUUUUGUGCGUUUGCUUUAAGUUAGAUUAUUUCAUUCUCGUGUUCCUGCAAUUCAUAAGGGUGUAAGUUUGGUUUCUGUUAAAGAGUUUUUUCGGUUUAUAGUAUAAUAAAGACUUUAAGACCAUCACUGUGACUUUUUCCUCACAAAGCACUUGAUUAUCGUAUUACAAGCGAACAACAUUCGACCUAUUCGAAGCCCAGAAGACUUUAUGAGUUAAAAUAAAAUGUUGUAUGAGUUUAUGUUGACUAAUGUAACUUAUAAGUUUCAUUUUAAAUCGUGAAAAAAAAAGAGAAUGUGAUUUGAACUUAUUUCUUGGCCCAAUAUGGAUGAAACAGAGUCGGGCUGGUCUUAAGAAGAUGAUCCAUGUGAUUUUCUCGACCAAUAUAAAACAUUUUAACCGGAACAAGAAGUACUAGGGGGUAGGAGUGUCAAAAUGGGUAACCCGACCCGACCCAAACCCAUAUGGGUUCGAGUGUUUAAUGGAUGGGUUUGAUCCGACCCAUAUAUUUAUAUGGGUUGAAUUUACAUACCCAAACCCAUUAUUAUAGAAAUCCAUUAGCUUAAUGAGUUAUAUGGGUACCCAUAUAUAUGUAUAAUAAAAUAAAUCCAAAAAAAUAACAUAAAAUUGUAAACCAACAAAAGUUUUUAAAUAAUAAAUUAAAAAAUCUAGAUAUUAAAAUAGAAAAGCAUCCUAAAAUCUUAAAACCACAAAUCCAAAGAACCAUAAAACCAAAAAAAAAAAAAAAAUAGUCUUAAUUUAAAGAACAUUUGAAUCCUCUUUAGAUGCAUCCGAUUCUCCCGCAUCGAAUUCUGGCCUCAUUCUUCAUCUUCGGCUUCAUUGUCUACAAACGAGUUGGAAAAAAUAUUAUACAUAUAUUUUACUUUUUACUUUUAUUUUUAGGUAAAAUGUAAACUUUAAUAGUUAUUUUAUAUAUUUUACAUAUAUAGUUGUAAAGAAAAGAAGAUAUUUUACAUAUAUUUAUAUAAAUUUUACAUAAUAUAUUAAUAUAGAUGUAUAUAAAUUUUACUUUUUAGUUUUGGUUAUGAAACUCAUGGGUAAUCCAUGACCCUAAUGGGUUUUACCCAUUAAACCCAUAACCCUAAUAGGGUAACCCACUAAAACCCAUUUAUAUAUAUGGGUAAAAAAAUUUUACCCAAACCCACUAAAAUCAUGGGCGGGUUCGGGUAAUCCAUGGGUAUUAACCCAUUUUGACACCCCUACUAGGGGGACUUCAAAUUUGGCUAAACCAAAUCAAGAUUAAACCGGAAAAUGACAGGACAGUGGUGAAAAUCAGUGAUAAGAGAAGAAGAAACAAAUACAAAGGAGGGAGUUAGAUGAAUGAUAGUGAGUAGGACCGGAUUUGACCGGUAUAGUACAAUCUGUUUUUACAGCUCCAUACAGAGAGACUUAACAAUCAUUAAUGAAUGAGAACAUAUUAUGUAUAUACACAACUUCUUAUCUCUAUCCUUUUAUGAUUUUAUCUUUGUCCUUCUUCUCUUUGUAUCGUAACAUUACCAUUGGAUCGUACCCGAUACAAACGAGAAAAAAAAAACUACAGAUUCGAUACUGAAUUAUUGAUUAUUACUCGAAGUUUCAUAAAUUUUAUAAGUCAUCAGAUACUAUUGUAAUUAAAAAAAAAAUGGGAAAAGUUUUGUAAGAAAUUGCAAAACAAAUUGUGUAUUUUUCUUUUUGUUAAAGACAACUAUGUAGACUUACAAGUAAUGAUUUCUCAAAAAUUUCAGAAUUCUUUUUGAAUAAUUCCAAAACAAUUGUAAAUUUUCUUAAAUAUUUGUAAGUUUUCAUCGUUUUCUGUUGCACAUAAAUAUAACCGAAAAAUAAACAUCACCGAUAAUUUAUCGAAUGAACAAGAUAGAUAUGCAUUUUCGUCUAAACUAGUUUGGACAUUUAUUUUUAGAUAUAUAAUCAGAAAAAUAAAUAUUUCGUCAAUUUAAAGCAAAACAAAGUUGUGGGAGUCUUUUAGGCAAUGGUUUAGCAAGGGUUUUAUGCUUAUACACCAAGUCACCAAGUCAUGAUUUCAAUCCUCAUCAAAUAUGAAUUAUUACAUAGUAAUGGAUGUAAAUUUCAAGAAAAAUUGACGUUUCAAAAAAAAAAAAAAAAACAUACAGAAAAUUUCUUAUGUGGUGUUGGUUGAGUCAUUCAUUAAGAUUUCGUGUGUGUGGUAAAAAUAAUUUUUUUUAUCGUGAGUGUGGUUCACAUAAAACUAGCUAGUGUGGAUCGUUGUUGUGUGUGUGGAACUGUUUACUUGUGAAAGUGUUUGUAAAAUCGUUUAUGUUGUUUUUUAUGUUGCAUAAAAUUAGUAUUGCUUUACUAUGAGCAAUAAGAUCAUCAUCAAUAUGAAGAUUAUUUUCUAAUGAUCUUAUUUUUGCAUGUACUUAAGUAAUAAAAUCUAAAUGGAACUUCACUGGCCAGUUUAGUCAUUGAAAGAAAUCUUAGAUUGUCACAACUAUUCAAUUUUAGAUAUAAAAUUCUCAUAACUUUUUUUUAUAAUAAUCCUAUUUAAGGUAAAAUCCUUUUGUGGUCUUCUUUUACUUCAAUCCUUCUUUUGGUUUUAUCGAAAGGAAGUAGUAUAUAAUAAUUUUCUAAUAAUAAUGAUAAGAAAAAUAAAUGGGAUGAGAGAGAGGAGGAGGGUGGGGAAUGGUCAAAGGAGAAGGACAAUGAUUUGGCCCUCUUUUGUUUCUUCAGUACUUUUAUUUCAGUCUCCUUUUAUUUUCCAUAUAUUAUCUCUAAUCUUAUCAUCUUUUUUGCUAUUCAUAGCAAAAACACAAUCUAUAGUUAUGCUUAAACAGACUUUGAUAGCCAAAAGCUGUGAUAAAGUUUUAUACAAUUAAGUGCUAACUAUCUAUGAAACUUUUAGAAUUCCUUAACUUUUGAGUGGUUUUUAUAUGAGUUAUCAAUACUUGAGGCAAUGAUCCUUCAAUUAUAUUUGGCAAAUUACCGAUAAGUUAUAUCAUAUGUGGAAAAAGAAAAAUUAACAACCUUGAUUACUAGGUAAGGAAGAAGCUAUACUAUAGGGUCAAGAUGUUCUAUUUGGUUCAAUCACAACAUAUAUUUUGUCAUUUUAUAUAAUUAUUAUAUAUUAGUGCAAUUAAGAUUGAAGAUACCAUCCUAUGUCUUGUCAUAUCAAAUAAGAUUAUGCCAUUCCCACAAAUAUAUUUGAUAAAGAAUAAUACACUCAGUUUGUCUUCUACUAGACUGUGAUAUAGUUAAAUUUAUUGCAAUUUUAUGAUGCUUAUACAUUUAUGAUGGAAAACAUAUCAAAUGUCCUCAAAUUUGAGAUAUCUAGAUUCAACCUAUAAAUAUCCGUAUUUGGCUUCUGUAUAUCCAUCCAAAAAUCAGAAUCAAAUUCGUAAAAAUAAAAAAUAAUUUAUUAAUAAAUAAAAUAACGAUAUCAAAUCCUACAUACACUAAUUUUAAAUUAAAUAUCUAUAUAACAUUUUGAUUAUAAGAUAUCAUAAAAUAACAAAAUUUGAUUAUUAUAUGUAAAUUUAUAAAUAAAAGAUCACAAAACAAUUUAUUUUAUAUAUAUGAUCCCUAUAUCCAAAUGUUAAAAUUAUGAUACAUAAUCGAAUCCGGACUCAGUUUCGAUGGAUCCAACAUACUCUUUGUAUGUUAAAAGGUUAUAUGUCAAUUUUAUGUAAAUAUAUAAAUUUUGAUUAUUCUAUGUAAAUUUAUAAUAAAAGAUCACAAAACAUUUGAUUAUAUAUAUAUAUAUAUAUAUAUAUAAUCCUUAUAUCCAAAUAGUAAAUUAUUAUACAUAAUCGAAUCCGGACUCAAUUUUGAUGGAUCCAAAAUACUCUUUGUAUCUUAAACGGUUAAACAUCUUAGACUUAGACUUCUGAAUUUUUGAAUCAAUUUUAAAUCCCAAAUAAAAAUUUAAUCCAUAUAUAAUAUUGUAUAAAAGAUAAAUCGCGAUGAAAAAAUCACUAAUAAAUCACUUGAAUAUAUUUUCAAAAACCCGUCGAAAUAACUUGGUUUUUCCCGUUAAGUAAUACAACUGAUAUGUAGUAGAAUUUUCUGUAAUUAAACUGCAGUUUCUGGUAAUUAAAUCAAGAACAUUGUCACCCAUUUGAACUCUAUAAUCAAGAAGACAAAACAAGAUCGGUAGGAGGUCCUCAGAGGCCAAAAGGACUGACAAGUGUUUUCAAUAAUGAGAGUGAUCUUUUGGAGCAGUGAGUCAGAUCCAUCAAAAUGGAGAAGACUAUUUCUCUCUCCUCUCUCAAUUUCAAUCUCAAAGAAGGUCCCAUCUAAAGAAAGGCUAAUAGAUUGCCAGAUUCUGCAGGGAGUAAAUUGGCCAGCUAGUCUUUCUUUCUAUGGUCUCUCUGCACCACCACCUUCAUCAUUUUCAACCCUCCUUUUUUCUUCACAUUAUAUUACUAUUACUAUAUAGUUCCGGAAAAAAAAAAAAAAUUUCUUGUGGAAAUAUGAACUUUUCAUCACUAUUCAAAGAAAUUAAAACCAUAAGUUAAUUAUGGGGUUUUAAUAAAACAAAUUAAUUAGUUAAUUAUGGUUUUAUAUCACAAAAUUUCAAAAGCAUUUGAAUUUGAAAACAGUUUGAGUUUUCAUAUAUACAAAUACAAUAAUCCAAGAUAGUAUAUCACUUGAUCAUGUCGACCAAAACUUAAGACGUAGAUCAGUCAAAACCUUGCAUAUAUGCAUCAGCAUAUAAUAUUAACUCGAUCACCAAAGCAAACCAAUGAUCUAAUAUUAAGGGAAAUAAACCAACGAUCUUAAUCUAUUAAUUAGUUAACAUUUAUAAAAUUAUAAUCAAUGUCUCAAAGCUUUAGAGACAAUUGCUUAGUCGAGAGAUACAUGUACAUAAAUGGUUAUUGACUUAUUGUGACUCAAAAACAAAAUGGCAAAUAAAGGAUUACUUGAUUUUUCAAGUCUCAUGUCUUAAGUCUCGCGAUAUUAAAGGAGGCAAAACAAUUUUUGUUUACAUUUACAUCAAACCCUUUAUAUGUGUUUGCAAUUUGUUUCUCCUUGAGAUAAGUUUGCUUUCUUCUUGAAAGCUUUUUGUAUCUCUUUUAUUGUGUCUCAAAAAUAGGGGUUUGUAGUUUAUAACUAAGGUGCAUAGUCAUUGUCAUGUGCAUAGAGGGGACAUCCUAAGAAAACUCAAUAAAAUAAAUUAAAAUACUUUGAAUUGCUCAUUUUUUGUAUUUUUACUAUAUAUCUUUCUAAAAUAAUUACGUGGGUCCUUUAGAGAGUGAAGCCUACACAUUACAAAGAUAUCGACAUCAUGUAGGUUCCAUUUAUAUAAAUGAUUGAGUAAAUGGUCAAAAGCUUCUAUCAUGCCAUAUGCCUUAACUCUUUCUCUCUUUCUUUUUUCUUGGAACAAAUAUUCCAAAUGAAACUCAUUGUGUUAACUAUUUUUUUAAUUUAAACUCCUAUUACGGUUAUAGAGAUUUGACUUAACGAGUAUUCGAAUUUUGCGGAAUAAGCAUAUUGAUACGACAAGAAAACAUCAUUGCACAAAUAACUGUAAUGCAUUGGAUUCUAUGAAUAACUAAAUACACAAGCUUUCAAUACAAUCAAUUUCAAGUUAUAAAGGCUUUAAGAUUAAUUAAAGUAAAAAAAAAAGCUUGAUCCGGGGAAAAACAAACUUUGAGAACUAUUAGAAAAAUUUAAAGUCUUAAAUCCAAUAUUGUAAUUUAAUCUUGAAGAAAAACUAGAUAAAAAUUCUUAUAUCAAAAUUUCCACAUUAUUAUAUAAAAUAAAUAAAUAUUAUAUAAAAAUAUUUCUUUGACUUGCAAUUUGUUGCGAGAAAACUCCUUGCAACUUUUCAUGAUAUCAGCAAAAUAUAAAGUAAAUCAAUUUGCAUAUACAUUUGGCCCGACCUUGAUUACAACAUUCUAACCGUCUUGGUAUCUCUCAUUAUUUUUGAGACAUGAGCCAUGCUUGUACUUUAGAAAAUUUGUAAGACUUGUUUGAUUAGUUUUAUCUAUCACCACCAUUUAAUAUGAUGUUUUAUCGUCAUUCACGAUUUCACAUGAUACGAAAAAUAAUGAGUCAUACGAAACUUGGUUUGAGGCUUAAUUGUGGUUAUAUCAUUAAAAGCCACUUAUCUGAAGAGACGGGAGGUUAGAACGUAAGAGCAAGUCCAAUGGUGUUUCUUAGUGAAGUUCUUAAGAAAUCCUUAGUUUAAAAAAUCAUUAAAAUUAAUGAAAACAAGAUACUAUAGUUUCUUAGCUUAAGAAUUGUUUCUUAGUUUAGAGUUUUAGGAUUUGUUAAGGACUCAUGUUGUGUUGUUUUGUGAUUGGGUGAGGAAAAAAUAUAGAAGCCAAAAAUAAAUUUAUCUUUUGUUUUUUGUUAUUCUGCGACACUUAUUUUUCUGUCUUGCAAAAAUUUAUCCUUUUUUUCUUGUUUAAAUGCUAAAGUCUUGUUUUUGUGAAUGAAGUUUUACUAAGACUCAGAUUCAUAUAUGGUAUAAAUUUGGCACGAAUUAAGCUAACGACUAAUCGUUAUUCCGGUUUUUGAUUUAUAUUUUUUAUAUGCUUUUAUGUUUUGUAUGUUUAAAAUUUUAGAAAAUUAUAAUAAUUAUUAAGUUUUAUCAAAUAAAAAUGUUUAUAAUUUUCAUUUUAAAAAUAAUUUUUUUUUAAGAAACUCAUUUAAGGACUCUACCAUUGGACAAUGAAAAUUUUAAGGAUUCAACACAAACUCUUAAUUUUAAAAUUAUCACAAUUUAUAAUAAAAAAAUGUUUAAGAGUCCUUUUAUAGACUUUACCAUUGGACUUGCUCAACAUACACACUUUUUUUUUUAUAACUAAUGGGUGAUUUAAAAAACAAAUUGUGCUUGAUUACUAAAUUUUAAUAAUGGAUAUGUCGAAUAGUAGAAUUGUUGUGAGAUUAUUUUAAAAGAAGUUCCCAGCAAAUCAAUUACACUUUUCUUAUACAAAAAAAUAUAAUUGUUUCAAUUUUUCAAACAUUGAAUAUUAUUUUAAAAUUUGGAGUAAUAUCAAAGAACAACGAGACAAAGGACCUGAUUGGUUAUGGUUGUAGCUUUAGAUUUUUGUCGGUAGAAUAUAGGCUGUAAAUUUUUUUGCAAUAGCUUUAAGAUUUUGACUGUGAUUUUUCAAAAAUAAAAGCAUGAUUGGUAAAUCUAAAUGUAGAUUUUCAAAAAAAGAAAACGUGAUUGUAAUUGAUAAGUUUAAAUUGUGUAUUAAAUAUUAAUAAAUUUUAAAACAAGAUUUUCUAAAGUUUGGGCUGUGUUAUAGUGAUGUAGGAAUAUUUUUGGAUGUGGAAAGUUUCUAUAACCACUACCAAUCAUCCUCAAAGAAAUUCCACGAGAUUUGGACAUUCCAAACAUCUAAACACUUCACAAAAAAUCUGAAUUCCAAUUUUAGUAAUCUCCACAAUUUAUCAUAUAGUAUAAAUUGAAAAAAAAAAUGACUAUAGAAAAAUGUGUAUUUGCAAAAUUCUUUCAAGGGGAUUAAAAUGUACACGAAUUUUUUCUAUAUUUCAUGUGCCACUCGAAUUUUACCAAUUUUGAACAAACUUGGCCAUCAACCUAAUUAACUUAAAUUAUACUUCCAAAACGUUUUUCCGCAUACAUCUCAUCUUCAUGUGUUCCACUGCAUUAGUUGUUUGCCCUCAUCAGAGACUUGUUGCGUUUGCAGUGCCUAGUAUAAAAUCAUAGAAUGUAUACAUAAAUAUAAGUUAGCAUAAAUAAUAUAUUUUCUUGAUAAAAGUAAAUAAAUAAUAUUGAUAUAGAUAUUUUUUUUCGACGAUAGAGAAAGAGAUCUUAGUGGACUUCUGCAACUAAAAAGGCUGUAUGACACACACACACGUCCUAUUGUUUCCUAUCUGUCCGACUACCUAGAACCUCUUGUGCCUUGAAGCACAGGCUGUCCAGGUGAUACAUAUCCAUUAUCAUAUUUACUUAUAAAUAAAUGUAUAUAUUAAUGUAUUAGUGUAUGGACUCAUAUUGUAUUAAUAUAUAUUUGUUGAAAGUGACCCCAAAUUUUUUUUGUAUCAUUUAUAGAAAAACAAUUUAAAUGUUCAAAAUCAUAUGAAAUUUUGCAGUGAAUAUAGGCAAAAUAAACAUUAAACACAAUAAAUUAAAGAUGUACUACUACAGGAUUUUUUUUUGUUUUUUUUAUUUAUGCGCAUCCUAAAUAAUCUUAAUGAAAUUGUAUUUUAUUAUAUUAUAGAAAUUUGUAGUUUUUUUUUAUAAAAAAUAAACGUCAGGAGUCAGGUGGCAAUUGGCAUGGUUCUUGAGAAAGUCUGAAUGGGAACCCAUCUCUCCGAUAAACAAAUAAUUAGAUCCCUAUUUCUUCCCUUUUCUUUAUUAUUUUGUAUUAAAAAUCAUAUAGAUCCUCACCAAGAAAAUGUUGAAAAAAUCAUCUACAUUUCUAAAAUUAUUUCCUCCUGCACUUUAUUUUUACUUUUUUGUUCCAUAAUAUUUUCCAUAUUAAUUAAAAUUAUUGUUAAAUAACAGUUGAUAAAAAUAUUUAAAUUAAUGGAAAAAAUCAUACAAAUAAAUUAAUGAUAAAAACUAAUGAUGAAUAAUGGAAAAAUGAAUUACUAUAUUUUCUUGUAUAGUAAACUAAUCUAGAUUGGGACCAGUAUAAGAUACUACCAAAAUUUUGUUUUUGCUACCAGUGAAAAAGAAAAUCAUUUGCUAUCAAUUACUGGUAUGAAUACAUAAUAGCUAUUAAGUCUUACUAAGUUAGUAUACUAGUUACUAUUUUAAUAGAAUUAUCUUAUAAAAAUAUUAAGACCAAAGCCAUUGCAUUUGCAUGUGGAGGAGAAGAACAUGAAGGCAUUUUUGGCAGAGAAAGACACGUGUCAAAAGCCCGUUUUACCACGUACUGUAUGUACGCCAAUGGCCUUAUGCUACAAAACUGUUGCAUAGAUUAGAUUGUUACAAAUAUGGAAACCUAAUACGAAGAAGUGGCCCGACCAUGUGCUUUUUAUCCUCAUCAAUCUCUGAAUAAUCCCCUUUAUUUCUUACGACAUAUUAUUAUUAUCAUACUUUUCUCUAAUUUUUUUUUUUGCCCUGAAUUUAGUAAACUGUUCCUUAAUUUUUUUCACUAAAUUACGCACACGUGACGUUUUUUUUUUGGUUUAUCACUGGAGAAGCUAAUUAGAUCACUAAAUCAUGUACUUCUUGUACGAAAGUUUUGAAAAGUUAUUUCUGUAAGACUGUAAUUGUUUUUUUUGUUUUUCUUUUUAAUAUUAACUAUUAAAAUGACUAACUUGAAAAAGGAAAAAAAAGAGUAUUAAGACUGCAGCAGAAAUAGGUUUUACGUGUGUUCUUUUUUUGGGGUAUCUUUGAAAAUAAAUCUAAAAGACUUAGUUGUUUUACUGAAAAUUGAAUCCAAUAAUACCUAUAUAGUUUAUAAAUUUUAUUUUCCCGGGAAAUAUUUUAUCACUGGUUUGGAAUUUUAUGGUGUAAGAAAGAUCCUCCUGAUGUCUAUAAAAACGAUUUAAUUUGCUUGCAUAAUUGUCCUUUGAAAUGUUUUUAUUCAUAAGAAACUAUUGAUAAAAUAGCCCGACCAUGAGGUGGGUUUAAUUCCCGAUGAAGGAAUCCAGAUACAAUUGCAAGUAAAACAAACUUAGAGUUCCUACAAAUUAAUUGAUAAAUCAUAAUAUAAACAUUUUUCAGAACCACUAAUUAGAUUGUGAAAACUAUCACUAACUAGACUAGAAAACCAAUGUAUUUUAUAUUUUUAAAAUCAAUAUUGUGCAGUCUCUACACAUGACCUGCUGUAAAAUGGACAAACUUAAAAUAAUCAAUUCCCACCAAAUAAACAACAACUAAGUUUUUAUGUGUUUAACAUACUCUUAAAAUACAAGAGUUAAUUAUGUUUAGACUUCGUUUGUUCAAAAAUAAAAAAUAAAAAAAAUAAAAAAAUGUUUAGACUCCAUAUAUUUGUGGUACUCCGCUUUAUAUAAUUUACAUUUUCUGCAAAAAAACCCAUCAAAAUAGCUAUUUUUUUUUGGUAAUUUUAUCUUUUAUCUUCAAAAAUAGAAACUACUCUUUAACUAUAGAAUUUAAUUAACUAUAGAUCAAGUCUUGUCGAAAUCUAAAUAACGGUAACAAAAAAACAUGUUUAAGCAUCAACAUUCUGUGUAUAUAUCAAAUUAAUUACUAUGAUAUCAACACACAAAACAUAAAAUUGAUAAAUGGAAAACUUAUUAUUGCUUAUUUUCUGAUGAAAGUAGACAACAUUUUAUUUAUACUAGUAUAAGUAGAAAAACGGUGUUGAUGUAAUUGAUGACGCAGCAAAGACUUUUCAGCAGUCCCCGUGAAAACCUGUCGUCGUCUCUUCCCUCUCCCAAUGAAAUUUACCCAAACUACGAGUCCUCUCCCUUCUUUUAAAGUUCUUUAGUUUUAUUAGUCUACACUUAUUACGACGAAUAUACUUUUAUAAAGUACCAAAAUCACAUUCAACUUCUUUUAUUCAUGAAGAGACCAAUAAUUCAUCAACAAAUACAAGAAGCUAAUUUCACAUUACCCACAAAAGAAAGAAAAAAAACCCCACAAAUAACUAAACACAUUUUCGUGAUAAAAGAGUACUACUUAUUUUAUCGUACCCGUUAUAAGAUAUACCUAAUAAAAGAAACACGAUACAUAUUUAUAUGGAAUGCUUAUUUUUUAAAUAUAUGUAAAUGAUUUUUGCCUAUGAUUUUAUUGUUUUAUAAUUAUGAAAAAGGAGCCCUAUGAGGAGCACCUUUUCUUCUAUUACCAAGUGAUGAAAGAACCAUCCCAGGCAAGUAAUUGUUCUCUUGCUUCUUCUUCUUGUUCUUCUUCUUCUCUUUUUUAUGACUAUUGUUACCUUGCUCUGAUUCAUCUGAAAUUACCAUUAUAUCCUCCGCAUCCUCCAUGGUCGAUAUUUCUCCGAGCUGAUCAUGUCCGUCCAUUCUCAAACCCUCGAACGUGAAGUCCGAUUCAUCAAUUCUAUAGAGAACGCUUGAUAAAUCAUCUCCUUGAUAUGAUAAAUAAUCCACCUGCAUUCAUAUUUUUUAAUCAUUGUUAGGUAACAUAAUUGUGUCUUUAUAAUAAUAAUAACGCAUACGGCUAAUAUUGGACAUGAUAGUUCAUAACCUAGGAAAGUGCCCACUUUGUACUUGCACAUGUGUUUAAGAAUAUUAAACAAUGAACACAAUCCAAGAAAUUUCUUAACAUGAUUAUAAAGCAUGAAGAGAAAUAAAAAAAACAGCUGUUUCCCAAAGUUUUGUUUUUUCAUCUUUAGUGUAAUGAUUUAUUAAUAAAAACUUUAUGUCAUAUGGUUAAAAGUUGAAGCAAUCAUUCUAUUCUAUUAUUUUUUUCCAACUUUUACUGAAUAUAAAAAAUCAACAAGUGAAUCUCAAGAAUUAAUGGGUCUCACUUUUGUCAUUCAUGGGUCAACUAUGUCAGCAACUUAAUUAUAACUAAUUUCCAUGUUUUUAUUGCACUAGGAAGGACAAAAUUCAAAUUAAAAGGUUUAAGUUCUCUUCUUAAUUAGGGUUCACCUAAGAGUAACAUAAUUUUCAAAUUAUUUUUGCAAUAUUAUUACCUUGCAAGAGAGGGAACAAAAGUGGAAUGGUUCUUGGAGGAUUCUAUCACAAGUGAAGCAAACAUUUGAAGAAACCUUAGCUCUUGAUUGUGGUCUUUGAUUUAUGAAUAUCACUUUGGCUCCGUUAAUUGUAUAUGGCUGAAUAUACAAAAUUCUCAAUCAGUAUAAUAAAUUAAAUUCAAAAUAAAAGCCUUCAAGAAAUUAUUUCACCUGAACAUAUGAACAAUCUAUGAGCUUCUCAAGAUCACUCAGCCGAACGACGUCGUGGUAUACAUAUCGUCUCACCUGCCGAUUCAUAAACGAAAGGGCUUAAUUGUUAGAAUUUAAACUAAUCGGGUAAAAUUCAUAAUCCUUCACAAAAUAAAUCCUCCUUAUCUCUACGGAAGCAAACAACAGGGCAAUAAAUAAAUCUUAUAAUUUUAUGAAGAAGGAUAGAUUUGCACCAAUAAUGUUUUUUGGGGAAUAGUGGAAAAUUAUUAAACAUUUUAAAUUGAUAAAAACAAAAAAACCUGUGGGAAAGAAGUUAAGGGAAGUGAAGGAAAAGGAAUUUGGUCAAAAGCUUUGAUGUUCUUUGAAAGCAACAGCUCAAGAGAAGUUGAGCAGAGAAGACAAUAAAUUUUAAAGGAACCAAGCAAUUUGAAAAGAGAAAGAAUUAAUAAAAGAUGUGAAAAAGAUACAUACUAUAUAUUUUUUUUUUUUGGUAUGAAGAUACAUACUAUAUAUAGAAACAAACCAAAUCCACAAAAUAGACAAUUCAAGUCCAAUUACUAUCAUCACAUAAAUACAUGAUACAUAUGAAUCUAUAUAUGUUGUUUAUACAUGCUCUCAAAACCUCCAAACAUAAUUAGAGAAAUGAUCAUAUCUUUAGAGUAAUUAAACCAAAUUUGACCUAAAGGGUUAAAUAUGUAAAAUUUAAUCUUAGAGGAAAAUUAAAAAAUUAUGAGAAAUUUAGAAAGAUGGCUUAAAGGGUCUUUUAAGAAGAUGAACAUUAUAAAAAACAUAUUUUUGGGAGAAGAAAAAGUUUGUGAUAAUGAAAGUUCCAUUAAAAAAACAAAGUUCUUAUAGUACAAGUUCCAAAAGCUCUACAAUUUGCAUUUUUUUGUUAACCGGGGAAAUCUCAAAUCGAACUCCAGACUAAUCCCGGAAUUGAGAAUUUUCCAGGAAAAUUACCAAGAAAAAUCAAAAACAAGGGUUUAUGGUUAGAUUUAACAAUUUGCUAACGUGUGUUAGUAUAUACAUAUUUCGCUACAAUCCAAACAUCUCUUAUAAGAGAGAGAAUUUUCUUCGAGAAAUCGAGUAACAGAAAAAAACUAUACGUACACAGUGAUUCAGUGUAAGUACAGAUAUCAACACAAAAAAAAAAAUUUACAAUUCACAAAAAAAAAACAUGGGUAUUGAAAUUGUCAAGGAAUCGAAUCAUGGGUCAUAAAAAAUUCUCAAUUUUUUAAAGUUUGGUUACCUGAAGAAGAGGAUGAGAGCGAUGUGCAGGGAGACAGUGAGGACAAACACUGAGACAACAGAGUAAGCAAAAAACGUUCUUUUCGCUUUUACGGCGAGUUUCGUGGAUUCCACAGCUUGAGAAGAAAGUUUCCGCCAUUAAUCCUUCAAGCCAUGCAGGUUUUGUUGCUAUCAUCAUCAUCAUCUCUUCUUCUUCUUCUUCACCAUCUCUCAUCAUUUCUGUGAAUUUUUAUGAUAGAGUUAAAACCCAGAUGGAAAGUUUCGAAAUUUUCACUCAAUUUAUUGAACAAGAAGAAGAACCCUAAAGAGAGAUUGAGAUUUUUGAUUGGGGGCUUCAAUUUUGGAGAGUGUGUGUGUGUGUGAAGAAGAAGUGUAUGUAAAUGUUUAUAUAUAAUAUCCAAUGUUAUGUGUAUACGUCAUACGUGUGUGUGUAUGUGUAUUGGUGUUUUUUUGUAAUGUAGAGGAGGUUCCAGAAUUAUUGUCGCUACGUAUAGAGAGAGAAGGUGUUGGUUGGGUAGGAGAAAGAGAGAGAGAAUGUCUUUUAUUGAGAAAACGAAAUGUUCCCAAAGAUCAAAUCUUUUGCUCCAUUGGCGAAAGAUCAAAUUUUAGAGAGAAGGUGUGACAGAGUAAGUGGCAUGGUUAAAGUUUUAGUCUUGAUUUUACCAUUGGGCAAAACACACAAUAAUAGAUAACUCAAUUUCAAGUUUUUGAUUACCUUUUACAUGGAACAAAAAGAUUGACUGAGAUCUUUAUUGAGAGGAUUUAUAUGUUUCUUUCUUUUAAAGAAAAAGACUUAAAAUUAAUAUUACGAAUGUAUAUCUUCUUGAUCUUUUGUUUGUGGUGCAUUUAAUUUCAUAGAGGACAAGUGUCCCUGAAGAUUAGUUUGUUUGGAGGGAUCUCUAAGGUUAAUUUACUUUUUCUGGAUAUGAUGAUACUCAUGUCUCCCCUCCUUCCACCUAACAUAUAAAAAACAAAGUGAUUUUUGUUUGGUAAAAGAUUUUUGGAAUUCACUUUUUAAUUCAUAUAUUAAAAAGCUUUACAUAAUUUUUAUUUAUAACAUUUACGAUCAUUUAUAGCAAAAUUACUUAAAUUAUCACUCCACAUAUAUAUCUUGUGAAGGUGUUGAGGUAUAAUUAUGGUGUGAUAUUUAUAUAUAUAUAUAUAUGACAUUAAUUAAGAAGAUAUAAAAUAUGGAUUGAUAAUGAAGAUACAAAGAUAUGGAGUGAUAAUAUUAUUAUAAUAAUCUUAUAAGUGAUAGUGGGUAUACUUAUAUUUUAUUCACACGCUAUAUUUUCAUUUUACUAAAUAAAAUUUCUGAGUGUCGAAAUUUAUAGUACUUUAUGAAUGUUAAAUUACUUGGUGUUAUUAUGCUAUGCACAUAUAUUAAAUUUAUCUUAAAAGACCAAGCAAACUUUAAAAGUAAUCAAUGUUGGUGCUAUUUAAUUAUAAAUUACAAAGUUUAUAGAAGUGUUUAUAUCAACAUUGUCACUCCUAGUUCUCUCUUUCUUUCCUUUUUCUCCCAAAAAAUAUUAAAUAAAAACUCAUAUUUUUGUUUUUAAAAAAGGAAUUUGUGCAAAAAAAUCCUCCAAAUCGCUAAUAUUUGCAGUUUUACCAUUCAUCUCCGAAAAAUGCAAAUCAAUAUUACGAAGUCAAAUAUAAUAUGCAAUAUAACCCGUUUAGAUAUUUUAAAUUUUGGGUUUGGAUUCGGAUCGGAUUUUUUGGAUCGAUAGUCUCAAAAACCAUCAUAAUUCCAAUAACUAAAAUUAUCAACAGUUUCAAAAAUAUAAUUAACAAUACAAAGAGAACAAAAAUAUGAGAAAGCUUUAAGAAACCGAGGUGAGGAGAAGAGUACUUAAAAAACUUAAAAAUAAAGAGAGCAUCACUCUUGCCAAUGCCAUCCAUACUCUAUUGUAUUUUCUUCUUCUUUUUUCUUAGUUAUAAUAUUAAUAAAAUAAUUUCAUAUCAUACUUUCACUCAUAUCUCAUAUCCUAGCUUUGGACAUCUCCAAAAAUCUAAAUUUGUCAAUCAAACGCUUUCUGGUAAUUGUUUUGUUCUUUUUUGUCCUGACUAUUUUGUUUUGUACAAAUUCUGUUUAUUAGAACUUUCAAGCCAAAUCAUAUUGCGAAGCUUAAAUAUACUUAUGAUAUUGAUUUCUUUGAAAAUAAAGCUUAAAAAUAAAGAGAGCAUCGCUCUUGCCAAGGCCAACGUCUCUGUCAUCCAUAUUCUAUUUUAUUUUCUUAUUUUUUGUUUCUUAGUUAUAAUAUUAAUAAAAUAAUUUUAUAUCUUACUUUUGGCCUUUUGGGCAUAUCUCAUAUCAUAGCUUCGGACAUGCUCCAAAAAUUUAAAUUUGUCAAUCAAACGCUUUCUAGUAUUGUUUUGUUCUCUUUUGUCUUAACUAUUUUAUUUUGUACAAAUUCUAUUUAUCAGAGCUUUCAAGCCAGAUCAUGUCGUGAAGUUUAAAGAUAAUUAUGAUAUUGAUUUUCAUGAAUUCAUCGUGGAGCAACAUACUGUUGAUUUUGUCACGAGUCACUACCUCAUUCACGAUAUCACCAAUGAGGACAAUAAUUUCUAAAGCUGCUCAAUAUCCUUAACAAAUCCCAAAUUAAUAGUCUUUUGCAUAACAAAACAAAAGGUAUGAAAUUGUUAGAUCUUAUUUUUAUCUCUUUUAGUGAUGUAUUCAGUAUUCAUAUAUAACCUUAUUUUUCACCUCUUGGUUCAAAUCAUUGGUGGCAAGUUGGCAGCUCGCGGAUUUGCUUCAUCUUUAUCUAGAUGGAGAAAAAUAUUCAUCUAUGGUGUAUACAUAAGCAAAACACUUUCUUUUAACACUAAAAUAUUCAUUAAAUCAAAUCUAUUUAUAUUUAGUGUUACUUAUAAUAAAUAUAGAUGAAAAUUAUACUUAACAAAAAAGUUAAAUACAAUAAAUGAAUAUUGGCAACAAUAUCUACAAAGUACAAAGUUGUGAAGUAUUUUAUUAGUAAUAAUAUAAUUCGAAUAAGAAAAUUAAUUUUCAAAAUUGGUCUUAUUUAAUAUUUUAGAAUUUGUUAAUCAAUUUUAAAAUGGAUAUAAAUUUGAUUAAUAUAUUAAAAAUACAGUUAUAUAUUUUAAAAGGUCAUAAUAAAUGAUAUUAGUAAUUUCAUUAAUAUCUGAGACCAAAACUUUUACGGAAUAACGAAGAUGCUUCACUUACUGAAUUAUAUUAGCAAUUUUAUUAUUAGGUGUAUAAUACUUUUUUAAAUAGAUACUCCCUCCGUUUCAGUUUAGUUGUCGUUUUAGGAUUUAAAUUUUGUUUCAUAAUAGUUAUCGUUUUAGGUUUUCAAUGCAAAUGUUUGGUAAAAAUUCCAGUUUUAUCCCUACUGUUUUAAUGUUUUGGCCAAUUAAAUUUUUUAUAAAAUAUAUUAGUAAAGGGUAAAACAGAAAAUUAAAUGCUUUACUUAAUUUGUGUGAAAAAACAUUAAACGACAACUAAAACGAAACGGAGGGAGUAUAACAUAUUAAAUUUUUUUAAAGAUGUACAAGUAUUGGAUCUCUAAAUAUCGCGGUGAAUAACAUAUUGAAUAUUUUCAUGUAAAAAUUAUAAGAUCAUGAAAUCUUUAGAGAAAUAUUUUUGUUAUUGAAAAUCAAUAUCAAUUUUUUGUAUUGAACUUUAUUUUUAUUUUGUGGAUGAGAUACAAUAUAGCCUUUUAGAUAGAUUUUUAGCAAUUUGAGUUAUUUUUAAAUAUUGUGAUGGUAAGACGGUGGACUUAAACAUUAUGAAAGAAGUGAUUACAUAAUUUUAUCAUUGCAAUAAAAAAAUUUCUCUAUGUAUAUUGUUUGCAUGUAAUAAAUUAAAAGAUAGUAAAUGAAAGAUGGUAUACAAUUUUAGCACAUAAUAAUGCGACAAUCAGUUACAUAAUAAAAUAAUAUGUUUGAAGCAUAAACGAAUUGGGCAAGCAUAUUGUUUUUAAUUUAUAUUUGUUCUAUAUCACAUUAUAUUAUUGAUCAUUAUAAGUUGUGUUUAUAAAUUUUAUUAUUUGAUAUUGUGAUAUAUUAAGAUAUCUUCUAAAUGAUUUUCUUUUGAAAUAUAGUUUCUAUAAAAUAUUAUUUUAAAAAUGUAUGAAUUAAAUUUGUGAAAAUAUGGCAGUAAAACUUUCAUGUUUUAAACUAAGAAAAAAACUAAUUUAAAGUUUUUACCUGAUUUUGAUUAAUUAGUAUUACAUAAAUUGAUUAGCAGUAAUUUAAAAAUUAACUUUGUGAUUUCAAAUAAAUCUAAUAUUAAAUAUCGUUUUUUAACAAAAAAAAACAUUUAACUAUCUUAAAUUCUUUGGAAAUAUUGUUUGACAGUAAUGAUUUUGAGUUUUAAGAUAUCUUUAAUCAUCAUUUAAAGAUUAACAAAAAAAUAAUAAUUCAUGAGUUUAUAUGGUUAGUUUGGUGAUUUUUUUAAAGUUGAGAAUUGCUUCACUACUAUAUUGAUAAAAUUUAAAUCAUUUAUGAGUUUGUCUAAGUGAAGUGGAGGAUUUCAGAUUGAACAAUAGACAGUUUAGACUAGUACAACCAAUGUAGUAUUCUUUUUUAUAGUAUUUUUCAGCAUUAAUAGGAUAGCAUAUAGUGUCAACCAAUUAAAUAUAAUUUAUUUAUGGUCAGAUUAUAUAGAAACCCAAUGGGCCCAACUAUAUAGAAACCCAAUUCGUUUAUACUCUCUUUGAACCACAUUUACUAAAUUGUGGCAUGUAAUUUGGUUAAACCGUUUCAAACCGAAUCAAAAACCAUCUACCAAAAUUGAAGCCCAUUUACUUAUUCUAUAUCAAAAUUUGCAAUAGAAGAAAAAUCCAAAGUUUAUUUUAAAUAAAUUUCAGUUUAAAGAUUAGUUCGUUAACAAAAAUGAAUUCUAAACUGAAAUCAAAAUUGACGAAAAAAAAAACUGAAAUCGAAAUUAUAGUAAACCAUUUGAUUCGCUAGCUCCCAGUCAAAUUCUUUCUUUAUUGCAUUGUAAUAUUACCUAAACAAAACUCAAUACAUUGUAUUCUAUGUGUGACCAUAUUACAAUGUUUUAGGCUAUGAGGAACAACUGCAAACUAUAGAACUGUGACCCCAAUGAUUAAUAUGCAUAUAUUAUAUAUACACAUACUGUUCUCCCGUUCUACUGCUUUCUACUACAGAAUGACCGAUGUUUCAAAUGGUUUAUAUCACGACCAUAAUUUUAUCAAAUCUUUCUCUCUACACACUUUGUAGCUAUACUAGUUGAUCGUGCAUGCUCGUCAUUAACGAUACAAAGAACCUCUAUACGAGGGACUCCAAUAGUCAGUUGCACUGUUAUCGCGGUAUGCGAUUGGGGUGCAAGAAAUAGGAACCAAACAAAGCCCUCUACUCCUUAGAUCUAGAUGUUUCGGUCCCAUUUUGUUGUGAUCUUCUCUAUCCCAUCCUCCCCAUGGAUCCUAAAAACCAUACAUACGAGAUUAUAGUUAUUUAACUUAAGAGAUUUCCUUUUCUAAAAAUUCAUUAACAAACUAUUUUAAAAACUUUAAGAAAAAUUUACCACCACCCAUUUUCUCCUUUAAACAUUACCUUAAUUGAUGAAUUCUUCAUAUAAGGAGUGCUUAGCAGCUGCAUGAUCGUUAAAAUCACCAACCAAAUUGUUAACUAAGAUAAUCAUGCUUGCAAAUAUAUGCUUGCCACAAUUAUUAUUUUUGUAAUUUUCACCGUAUAUAAUUAAAUAAAACAAUUUACCUUAACUUGCUCUUGAUAAAAAUUUAUGUAAGUGAUGGCUUCUUGAAGUACAGAAGCAGUAUCCGUCUGAAAUGUUUUCAAACCAAUGUUUCAUUUUCUUCGUUGUAUUAUAUAAAAAGGAACGUUGAAAGAGAUGAGAACUAUAUAUAAUAAAAUAAAAACGAAACUAGAAAAAGCAAUUUGACAAAACAAAAGAAAGGAAAAAAAAAAAUGGUCUUUUUGUUGUUACCUUUCCAAAGGGAGACACAAUUUGCUGUAGAGUCGUGAUCUUGUCUCGAAGUUUGGCUUUUGGUAGUUCCUGCCAUUUCUUUUUCGAAAAUAAUGUUAUGAUUUUGAUUUUCCUUUUAGUAUUUUUUUAGCCGAGUUAGUCUCAUUCACAAAUAAAUCUCAUAACCUCCAUUCAUAUGAAUAUAAAUUUAUAAUAGUGACAAAUUUCUUACGUGUUUAUCAUAGAAAUCACAAUUCAAUAUUUUUUGCAACAUACUUACUAAGUGCACACAUAAGAGGAUUAGAUUAUAUAGAAAUUACCUUCUCCGGCGAAAGUGUAGAGCCGGCGCUGCACUUGGCCUUCUUGGAGACCUCAUCGGAAAUUUCUUCACAUCUUUUCUUCUUCCCGGCGUUUGUUGUUCCCAAUCUCCCUGCUGCCUGCAAAAAAUAGCUUUCAAGUUCGUGUUAACGUCAAAACAAAAAAAAAGUUCGUGUUUAACGUCGGUAAAUAGACUUUCAUUCGUAAUAUACUAGCAUAAUGGUGCAAUAACAAAAUGUUGAAUUGUUUUGUGGAGUUAAAUGGUUAUGCAGGAUGAGAAUCCUAAAGGAGGAAUUUGACAUUAAGAAAAACAUGCAAAUAGCAGCAAAAGAAAACAAAAAAUUCCAACUACCACAAACUUUAUGGUUAUAGAUUAUUCCUCAAACCUUAAGUGUCCCUUUUGAAAAUUUUCUCAAACUAUUGGCAUUUUUAAAACUAAAAUUUGUUUUCUUAGUAUGUUAGGAUAUUUUUCAAAAUAUAAUAUAUAUUGCCACAAAAUGCUGGCAAUUUUUUUUCAUAAACAUAGUAAUAACAUCCGUUACCAAAUAUAAAGAUGCAACAGAAAUAUCAAUGUUAAAUCCACUGUUAACUGGAACGUUUUACCCAAUGUCGAUAAUAAGCUAUUGUAUCACAUAUUUAAUUAUAUGAACAGAUUUGAUAGCGUAUACGUACCAGUGAUGCCGUUUGCUGUUCUUUCUUGUUGAACUCGGAUACGUUUAAGGCCUUAAAGCAUGGCUUAAACGACGGAUUAAUAUCCGUUAAUGGCCUACUUAACCUUACAUCAAGGAAAUUUCUAGAACUUUCUGUAGGAUCAUGGAACAAGGAACCACCGCCACUUGAGCCAUUAUUGUAACAAAGAUCUUCCUCAUUUUUCACCUCCAAGGCUUGUCUGUACAUAGAAACGUCGUCGUUUGUUUGAGAAUGAUCAUGAUCGAAGUGAUGAUGAAGGUUAUGGUUCAUGUCGGGAUUAUUCGGUGGCGCAAUUGACCAGUGCUUGCCUACAAGAUCCGUUAACUUUGACAGCCGUUGGUCACUACUUUGAUCGUACCUAACUUGAUUUGUGUCAUAGACCCAACCGUUAUCGUUAUGGCAGGCUGACUCGAAUGAUGCUAGUUCUGAUGUUGUUGAUGAAUUUCUUGAAGAUGUUAUGUGAUGAUCAUUAUGAUGAUGAUGAUGAUGAUGAUGAUGAUGAUCCAUCAUUUGAUCUCCUAAGCUUCUACUAGGCCUGUCCAUUUAUAUAAUUUUAUUAACGUGUGUAUAAAAUAUGAUAUGUAAUGUUACAAAACUUAAGAUAAAUAUGGGCGCGUUUUUUUAUAAUGAAUUUUUGUGUUAAUGCUAGAUUAUUGUUUUUACUUUCAGAAUAAGAAACACUAGAUAGAUAUUGAUACUUUCAUUAAAAUAAUUUUGGGAUAUUGUAAACAGGUACAAUAUGGUUAUUUUGGUUUGCAUUUUACGUGUUCGUUUAUAUUUUUCAAGUAAUUAAUACUUACUACGACAAGUUUUUUAAAUUUGAACUACUACAACAUCUUUUACUUUAAAAUACGAAUAAACUAUAUCUUCGAGUGGCCAAUGAUAUAGAAUUAUAGAUGAAUCAUAAGUGCAAAAUUAUAGGCAUACCCUAACCAAUCAAACGUUAAAUCAUUUAUUGGGGAACAAUAAUUCAAAAGAGCUAGCUACUAAUAUACUUUCUGUAAACCAACUUUUAGACCUCUCUUUUGUUUCUAAUGUUUUUUUUUUAAUUUUUGUUUUUAGGCCUGGAAAGCAUUCAUUUUUUAAAAACAAACAAAAAUAAUAAUAGUAUGAACUAGAUGAUAUCUUUAUGGAGUGGAGCGUAGAACUUUAAACCUUAAGCUAAACUUUGAUCCACAAUUACCGCUAUGUGAAUUGUAAGGAAGAAUGCGAAACUCAAAGAAGAAAUAAUCAUAAGUUGGAUAAGAUAAAUAUAUAUCAAGUGUUUUUAUAGAUACUUACAAGAAGGCAAGACUCCAUAGAUGAUUAUGAGAAGAGACUACGUGGUCGCGGAGCAACUCAUCGGAAGAGGAGGCAGGCUGAUUUGGAGCCGAGAGAGAGUGAUGAUUGGAGGAUUCAGCUGUUAGGUCCAAACGAUUUGAAGCGCUCACGGUAGAGAUCGAGAGAUUGUCUUCUUCACAGCUAGCGUUUGCGUUUAAGUUUUUAUUACUAUUCUUAUGGUAAAAAGACGUCGAAUUAAUCGAGUUUGCAUGAUCAUUAUGAUGAUGUUGAACAUCUUCCCACCAUGAUGAACUUGGAGUACAUUCUUCCCUUAACAUUUUUCUUUCGUCGAACUUAUUUUCUUUUGUUGGUAAGUCUAGAGGAUAUGUACAUUAGAGAAUAUAAAGUGUAUAUGAUACGAUCGGUGGUGGUGACAAUAUUAUAUGCGAGUGGGGUAUGUCCACUACAUUACAUUUAAAAUUACAUAUAGUUAUAUAUAUAUAUGUAUCUAAGCCACCGAAGGAUGUGUUAUAUGCGGUCUGCGUAAGAUGGUACGUCAAUUAAAGAUGUGUUUGACCUCUACAUGAACUUGUCACAUUUUUCCGGUAUCUAGAUGGAUCUUGGUAUAUUUUACAAUUAGUUAAAAUUCUAUAGAACCUAAUAAUGUAUAUUAGUAGGUAUAAUCUUUCGAUCAGACAACAUGCAGAGUCACAAACUAACUAAAAAUAGAGUUUUUCUAUAAACAGAAUAUGAACCAAAAAAUAAUUUGAUAGUAGUCAAAAUGGUUAUGUUUUUAUUAUAGUUAUUUCCUUUUCAACCAUGUUAUUUGGAGAUUAAUCUAAGUUUAAAAGAAUGGUAUUUCAAAACAUGUUUUUUCCUCAGAGAAGAAGACAUGUCUCCGCCACAACGAGACAUGUCUCCGCCACAAUGUACAUUGUCAUCAGACUUGGUAUUUGCCUAUUUGGCCAACCUAUAACCAAAACCCGCCUGUUACCAAAAUAUGCCUCCGCCACACGUGAAUGCGGCCGGGUGCCACAACUUCGUGACAUGAGGCCUGAAAAUUACUAUUACCCAAAAAUUGUUGUUUCAUUUGCUUGUUAAAUAUGCGUUGGCGGGCGAAAGCAUAGCCAUACUAGAAGUUCCACGCUUUAUUAGUGCAUAUGGAGUAGAAUUGGACUCGGAGUCAAUAGUCACUAGCUAGCUAGCUAAUCUUGUAUGAUGAUUCGGUUCUAGAGCCCUAUUUGUAUAUCAAAAUUUAUGUAUCGUCUUCUUUUCAAAUAAUUUCUUUUGAAUUUUGAUCGAGAGAAGCCAAUUAUUUGGCUUUAUUUCCAUGCUACAUUAGGUUUGACCUACUUCUAUUCUUUUGCCCUCCAGCUUUAAUAAAGAUGUUGGUUUGCCGACCAAAAGGUUUAGAUUUUGUUUUUGAUCGAUAACAAAAUUUCUGAUAACGAAGCUAAAGUUACAUAAUAUUUUUUGUAAAAUUGAAUUAAUUUUAGAUGAAAAACAAGAGAGUAACUGAAAACUGAUUAUUAUCACAUAUAGUUGAUUGCAUUCUAUCAUGCAUGUUGUAUGAAUACCAUUAUGGAAGGACUUGAGCUUCUUAUACCAAAAAAAAAAAAAACUAGAGCGAAGGAGAGGAAGGUGUAGAACGGGCAAUAGGGUUUAUUUCUUUUAAUUCUAUUUGGCUCCAAUUAUUAUAAAAAGUGGGCAGAUGAUGCCAAAAAAAUAAAUUAAAUUAACUUGGAUAUGUUAAUUAAAUAUGCAAGCGUGAUUAUUGAUACACGUUAUUAUCUUUUUUUGUUUUAAUAAAAUUUCGUAACCAAAAGUAAGGGGCAUUAUGGAAUAUUAAAUGUUUAUUUUGUAACGUUUCAAAUUACCAAACACAAAGCACUCAUUGUUCCAAUCUACAUAUUUUUCAUGUAAUACUCCAUAGCAAUUCCAGUGUGUGUAAUUCAGUUUUCAGUUGUUUGGAAUUUUAAUCGAGUGAAAAAUAUAUGAAAUAAAUAGCAAUUAUAUCCGUUGUAAGCAUAUUAAUUGGUAUAUUAUACUCCUUUUGUUUCAAAAUAUAGGAUGUUUUAAGAUGUUUUACAUAUUUUUAUUUAUGCAAUCUUUAAAUGCAUUUGAUGUGUUAUGACCAUUUGUAUUCUGCAGUCUUUUAUAUCAUUGGUUAAAUUUUAAAAAAUUAAAUAUUAAAUAAUAGUUUUAAAAACAAUAAUAAAUUUCUUAAAAUAUGUGUUUUUAACUAAAACAUCCUAUAUUUUGAAACAGAGGGAAUACUAUAUAAAACGAAGCUUUAAACAUUUAAGGUCACAAAAUCACAAAUUCAAAUAUUAAUAGCAGGAAAACACUAAUCAAUUGUGAUUUAUCAUAUUUUUUGUAGAUAUCUCCAAAACAGAAAAGUUUUCUAUUAUAGAAUCUGAUUAAUAUAUAACACAAAAAAGAUAAAUAAUCAAUACGAGUAGAAAUUGGAGAUUCAUUUUUACCACAACCGAUAGUCGAUAAGUAUAAGUUUCUUGGGGUUUUGAUUUCACGUACGCAUCUAAGUAUACUUAAUAAUAUUGACUUAUAUCGUAAGCUUUAAAUUUGAUGCUUACUUGUUUGGUGACACGAAACCUAGCAAUUAAUAAAGGGUUACGAUUCCAUACUGGCCCUAACUUUUUGAUUUCAAAAAGAUAAUUUAAAGUAUUAAUCAAUAAUCACGCCUGUUUAAUUAAUUUAUUAUCGUUUCUUGGUGCGCUAUUUAUUUCUCAGGCAUUCAUAACUUUUAAUCCGAGUCCAAUCCCACUCCAAAAGUUUCUUGUCUUUUGCGACAUCUUUUUUUUCUUAUUUCUCAUAUUUUAAUAAAUAACAAUUUAAAAAGAGAUUGAGUGGCCAAAUUUUCUGAGGUUGACUUUUGUUUAAUUCACUAUCAUUUAUAUUUGACUCUUUAUAUAUUAGUCAAUAACCAAUCGAUAGCACCAUAACCCAAGAUGUUUUUCUAAUGGCCAAAAGUUUAAUUUAAAAAAUUCAAUUGGUGAUUAUAGUUUGGUUACAUGAUACCAUGGCAUAUAGUAAAAGUUAGUGGAAGAGAACGAUUAGGCCAGUUAUGGAAGUAUUCUAGGCCCAUUUUAUUUAUUGGUGUUUGGUCAUUCCUCAUUGGCCCAUUCAUGAUUCAUGCAUGAAACCAUCAAAGUUCAGGUUCGUUGGGCGAGGAAGUUUAAAAUUUGCAAAUCACAUAUUUUGUUAAACGGUAAGGGAAAAAAAGAAAUCCAAGGAAAGGUAGAUACAAUUCAUGUGGAGUUAGUAACGCUUCAAAACAACCCAACUUGGUUAUAUAAACUAAGAAAGUUUUGUCGGCUUAGGGUUACGGUAACUUGAUGAAAACAUUAAGGGUGGUGAAUAACUUGGUCCAGCUAUUAUUUAGGAACCGGACACCUAAACAGGAUGAAGUAUGAUGUGUUUUGGUCUCUUUGACAGUCAUCCAAAAAUGCUUUUUGUACCGUAUAGCGCCACGUUACUUAUUGUUAUGGUCCCAAGUAAAAUGUAGCCUUGUCAAAUUUGUCAUGCAUUGGUAAGUGCUACAACUAUAAGAGCCGAGAGAAUGAAAAAAAAACUACUAAAAGUUAAGCUGAUCUAUAUGAUGCUUCGUGAUUCACUAAAAAUAGGUUAACAUGACGCUAAAUAAGUAAUUCUCCUAAGUCCUAACGAUGACACAUGAUGUUAACCUAUUUUUAGUCCAAGUCUUACUGACAACUUUCAACCCUAAAUAUAUGCAUUCUUUUUGUCAAUAUUGAAUUUUUUGCUAACAAUACUCGGCUGAUAAAUGAUGUGAUACGCUCUAAUUGUCUUAUAAUAUAUAUAUUUUUCAAAAUUUUAUUUAAAUCAUGGAAUGAUUAUCUAUUUUAUAUACUUAAAUAGUUAAAAUAUUAGAUACCAUUAAAGCUAGCUAAAUUGAUGAGGCCAAACUAAAUUGCCCAAGCAUAUGUGGUCUAGUGGCAGAGGAAGCUUUGGGAAAGGGUGAAAUUCCCAAACCUGAGUUCGAUUCUCCCUGGAAACAAAAACACAUUUGUUUGGGAAGUCUGUCAGUUAGGCCUUGACCCAAUUGGUUUACCUGGUAGCCAGAAAUGCAGGCGGCCUGACUACCCCUGGCACUUAGUCGGAAGGCAUUCCAAACUCGGGAUAGGCAGAGUGGUAGCCCGUAAGGGCCUAACCGUUAACACGGUGGACUAGUCCACUAUGUAGCACUUCGGUGCGUUUCUACCGGGGCCGACCGGAUAGCCGAUAAGGUUUAUCAAAAAAAAAAAAAAAAACUAAAUUGUGACCGUCCGUCUAACUAAGUUUGAUGUAACAAUUGAAUAAUCAACUCACCAAAUCUCUAAAUGUACAUUUCUAUGCGAUCCUUUUCUGAUAAUUAUUUGUAGAUUAAGAACAGAAGCAAUAAUUAGUCGAUUAUAAGUCUAUGGCCAAAUGAAAUGAUGGGCCAAUGUUCAUUUUUUACUUCUUUUUUAGCCAACAAUGAUGGCCCAAUGUUCAGAAAACUUAGCUUCAAAUUGCUAUUUAUUAUUUAAAUAUGUACUGUAAUCAUUAUUUUUCUAAAUUAUUAUCUUACUUUUGUUUAGCUGUCUUUGUUAAUUAAAGUAAUGUUGGGUGCACUAGAGAGUAGAGACUAGAGGCCCCAAUUCAACUCAUACCCGAUUUAUACCUUUCUCCAAUUUCUCCACCUUGAACUAACGGUAGCUUAUGUUUUUUUUUUUUUUGUUAAAGAAACUAACGGUAGCUUAAUGAAUUAUCAAUACAAUUUUUAAAUACUAUAAGAACAGAAUCCAUAUAGUUUCGUGAAUAUUACAACACCAUCCUUUAAACUAUUUUUUUCUGUAUAUCCACGUGUUUAAAUAGAUAUAUCGAUUAUCAUAUAUACAAAAAUAUAAAAAGUGAUUUUGAAAUAUAUAACCGUUCAAUGUAUUUGAAAUUAACUAUCAAUUGCACAUGAGGUCAUAUGUUUUGGUGAAAGUCGGGCAAGAUUUUAAGCUGGAGCAAGAAUUGCAUGCGUUAUAUCAUUUUUUUUUGUUGAAAAGCUUUUAUUAUUUAAAGAUUUAAACUACAGGGAAUCCAAAAGAACCAUGAAUAAAUAACUGAAAUUAACAUAACCAAGCAGAAAAGAAAAGAAAAGAGAAGAGAAGAAGGGAAGAAGGAAAGAAGGAAAGGUCCGGAUAUUUGCAUGGGUUAUAUCAUACAAAUUCCAAUGUACAGUUUUCUUAUAAUGUAAGCACAGUUCCAAUGUACCAUAAACACAACGAUACUUAAGCAUUUACUAGUCAUUGGUUCCGUCCAAAAUUCUUAAAUUAUUAAUUUCAAAUUAUUAAUAUGUAUUGAUAUGAGUCAAAUUAAUUCUAAGACUACUCUCUCAAAUAAGAGAUCGUUGUUGUGGAUGUUGGAUUCACACACUCAAGUAUUUUUGUUAAGUAGGAAAGAUUACUCUUGAGGGACAAAAAAUGAAUAUGUAAAAAGCUUAUGAAUUGUUACAAGAAUUGCUGUAGUAUUUCUUACUCGAGAGAGACCCCCCUUACAUGACCAUUGGCCCUUAUAUUUAUACAUAGAAAAACAACAUUUAAUUGGCUAAUUAAGUACAAUUAUUCUCUCUUAAAUGUGUCCGUGUUGAUCUUUGACUUUUUAAUGCUCAACGUUUGAAUUUGAGUUGACUCCGAUCUUUAUGGGACUCAUCUUUUGGCCCAAAUGUCCUUGGACCGACUUAAACGUGACUUUGGCUCCGGACUCGUGCCGAGGUGAAGUAACUUCGUAUUCUUAUCGAGGUGACAACCACUUCGACUGUUCCUUUGACUUAUGGGUCUAAUGGGCUUUAUCCCUUAUGGGCCGUUAUCCUGACUACGUGGCAAUCUUUGGUUGGUCCCGGAUCUCUGGUGCGGGAUCCGACACCAACAAUUAGCCCUCCAAGUUCUUCGAAGUGCUAUUCCAAUUCGGAGGACUUUAAAUGCUUUAAUAACCAAAGAUUGCGUUCCGGAGAAUCUUCUGAUUUCCCGCCAAGAUCUCAUCAGUCCUUUAAUUUUGGCGCUACCCAUAUUUAGUCGCGUGACAUCUGUCGCCAUCAUGACCGUAUAUUAAUUAUUUACUAUUAAAGCGGGAAAAAACCUUCCCACUUCUUCCAUGAUUCCCAAGACGGUUCCAUCAUUAUCACCUAGCUGAGGUAACCUUCUUUUUCAUUAUUACUUUUACUCUUGUUCUUCGUGGUUAAAACUCCUUCUGCUUUUCUCUCCGAAUUUUUCUUUUUCCUGGAACUUGAGUUUUUCAUUCUUCCCGAUGACUUCUGAUUCCGAUAGACCCGAGUCUCCGUCUUUUGAUGACAGGCGUUCUAGUAAUGACGAGUGCACCCGCCCUAAUGAUAUUGCCGGUCCGCACUAUAGAUCCACCUGCACCCUUCAAUCCCUUGAACGAUUGAAGGAACUCUGCCGAAUUCCGCCGGGAAUUAUGGCGGAGGCGCAGAUAGCUGAUCCCACGGAGUCUCCAGAAAGCCAUCGCGACGGCUACUUCUGUGUAUACGAGAUUUAUUUUAAAGGUUGCGGGCUGACUUUUAUCCUUCCCGAAGCCCUAGUUUGAUACCUAGCGGCUCUUGAAAUCGCUCUUCCUCAAUUAACCCCCAAUCUUCUUCGUACUAUCCUUGGAAUUAUAACAAUCGCGGCGGAGGCCGGAUACGUUAUCGGAGUCACUGAGCUAAAUGAGCUUCUAAGUGUGAGAAGUUCAUCGAAGAAAACGGGGUAUUUCUCAGCAUAUCCAAACGCCAGCAGGAACAUCAUUUCGCAUCUUCCGAACAAGGAUGAAAAUUGGCACCAUCCUUGGUUUCUGAUUAAGAAAACUCCCGCUUCGAUUGGAAAUCUUGCAGAUUUUCUCCCUUCGAAGUGGUCUGCGAAACCUGGUAGAGAUUAGGUCGCCCAUAUCUUUCCCGGUUGUUUUAUUAUCUUUAUUGACUAAAACCGUUGUUUCAUUUCGCAGCUUUCGUCGCUCCGACUCUCCCAUCUGACGCAUUCGUUGAAUUCUUCAAAAUAAUUCUCGAAGGGGAAACCCUAUGGAAUUCUUUCACUCUUGAACGAUUUUUAGAAGCUGAUUGCUCGAGUAAUUAACUCAAUACACUUAACCGUUAGGCAGUAUAUUCGAGGUCGAUCCACAAGGACCAAAGAUACUCUAAGGAUUUUCGAGACUUGUUCUUAGCUAAAACUAAAAAGUUGUUUUGUUUGAGUUUUCCGAAUUGUAAAAUAAAAAUGCAAUUAAAUUAAACGAUUUAAGUUUCAAGAUUUAAAGACAUUAGGCAUUAGGGUAUUUCAGAGAUCAAUAAACAAUGGAAACAUGGGACAAGGAAUUCAACAAUUACGAACCGUUCUUGAACAUGAACACAACUUAGACUAAUUCUCUUUCAAGACAUUAAUCACUAAAUUUGACUACUCGAUUACUAAACUUUCGCAUGUAAUUUCCUAGUCAAAUUCGCAUUAUCAAACAAGUUCAUUUAGUUCACAAUGCGUCCUAACUUCAACUUUCGUUGGCUAGAAAUACAUUGCUCAAUUCACAUUCUUUCAGGCAUUCUAUCGAACACUUUUGAUGCAUAGAAAAACCUAGGUUCUACAACAGGGUGAUCAAUCCUAUUCUAGCAUUAAGAACAUGUGAAUCAAAGAACCUAGAGAAUGAGAAUUCCAAACAACAAUUAAUCCAUUAAUCUAUCGAAUCUCCUAAUUAGAACCCUAACACCUAAUUAAAAGACUACUCACACAUAGCAACAGAAACAAGACAAAUAGAUGAAGAAGACAUAAUUGAAUUACAAUGAAAAUAAGAAAUAGGGUUUAGAAAUCUUCUCCAAAUUGUCAAAGAGGAUGAAUCUCUAGAAUCCCAAGGUUGCUUACAAGAGAAAAGUCUCAGAAAAAUUGCAGAAAGAAAACGUGGAGAGAAAAAUAGGUUUCUCUGGGUUUUUAUACCCAAGUACAGAAAAAGGCAAAUAAACCCGGUUAAGGAAAACCGGUCUGGUCGUCGAAAAAGGGUGGAUCGAUCGAUCCCCACCUGGGAUGAACACGUUUGGACGGAUGAGGGUUGGAUCGAUCGAUCCCCUCCUGGGAUCGAUCGAUCUCGAGCUACUGGAACUUUUGGCUUCAUCGUCACAAUUGGGAUCGAUCGAUCCACGCCUUGGAUCGAUCGAUCCCCAGCUCCUGGUGAUCUCUUGUACCGUUUCUCCAUUGUUUUAGCUCCGAAUAGGCUCAAUCAUGCACAAGAUGCUCCGAAUCCAGCUCGAGCACCUAUAACCUGCAAAGGACUCAAGACACAACCGAAAAGACGCAAAAGACGGACUUUGACACGAUAGAUGACUCAAAAC